AAUAGAAUCUACCUUAUGUCAAUACACAUGCACGACUCAACUUGUGAAGGCACUUAUACAGUCACAAUAUGACGAAGUUCAGAACUAAUAACUAACUUUAAACAAUUCUAUAUGGAGAACAAAGAAAAAAAUGUCAAGCCAUAAAAUAAGUAACCAAAAAAAAAAAAAAAAAAGUAACCAAUUCCACUCAUCACAGUCAGGUUAAGUUGUAUACCUAUUUUAGUCACUUAGCUCAUUGUCGUAAAACUUCACAUCGGCAUCAUUGUCUGUGGAAGCACCUCCAUUGGCAGGAUUGACAUCCAAUGUGUCUACAUCAGUCAAACCAACCAGUUGAAGGCAACCCUUCCGACCCUCCGAUGUCCCAUCCUCAUAGUCAAUCAAAUCAUUCUCAUAUGCAUCAAGUGGCUCCAUUCCAGGACAAAGAAUUUCCUGAGAAACACAAGAAUGAAUUUUCAACUCCAGAAGGCUGGUAAAGUGCAUAUCAAAAGGAUGAUUACAUUGGAACUUCAUACUACAGGCUAGGUAUUACAGAUCACAUUACCAUGGAACUGAGAUAAUCAUUAUAAAGCAACAACUUGCUGUGAAACUAGCUAAUCUAACAAACAACAAUCAUCCCUCUCCAUAUCAAUUUUUUUUUUCUAAAAGGAAACGAGUCUCAUUAUCAUUAAUAUUGAGAAAGAGAGAGACAAAAACUCAACCGUGUAUUAGCAAGGGUUUUCCUGAUGAGGCGUUCUUUAUAAGGUACAACAAUGAAACUCACUCAACUAUUCUAGAACAUCUUUCCCAGCUUUUUCUUUCCAUCUGUCAAACCAUAUUAUCCAAAAACCUCAUUUAUCGAUGUUUUCAAACUAAUGAUUCUAAAAUUUAGCAGUAUGGGUAAUCUGCUAGUAUAGGCUGUCGAUAUUUGGAGAUAUCCUGUAACUUUUUGAGUCUAACCUCACAUAAAAACUAUAAAUUUAAAAAAAUAAUUAAAAAGGGAAAAAAAGACUUAACAACUUAAAACCCAUGUGGUCCCUUCCAAAGUUGGCCUUAGAGUGUGCAAAGUCUCUCUCUGCAAUUAUGGGGUGUGGCUGUAAGCAGAACGGAAUAAAAAGAUCUCCGAUUACCUAGUUCUUAAAAAACCAAACAAUAAUAAUAGUAGUAAUAACAUGAAUGAACUUAGUCUUCUUCUUUCAUAUGGGGGUAGUUUUAUGUAAUUAAAGUGGACUUCUCUUACUUUUUUGUUUUCUCUAGUAUAUCCCUACAUUAAAUGACAGUGGGUUUCUUACCCAAAACAGGGGGGGAAAUUUGGUAUUUGGAAGACAGAAGACAUGCCUUCCACUAAAUGAAGUUUGGGGAAUGCAAUUCGUUGGAACAAAAAAAUAAUUUAUUGUUGGUUGCUUAUAAUGGAAUCACUUUGCAGAUAAAAGACAGUAUACCCUCAUACCUCAUCUUCUUGCAUGCCUUGUUUCCGGGGUUCCACAAUCCAAUCAUCCAAUAAGUGUUCCAUAAGAAUAUGAUCAAGAGAGAUAGACUCAUUAGAUUGCUUUCUUAGUUGGCGUUCCCGAAGUUGCAGGUUGUAGUGGACAUACAACAAAUCAGCCAUUUUUCUCUGAGACAAACUAUUGUGCCUUUGACUAUGUUCUUUAGCGAAUGGGGUCCAGUUGUGUUCAAAACACAAAGACGAACAUGUCUGACUUAGUAUGCGAACAGCUAUUUGUUGCAGCUCUAAGCAACUGAUUCCAUGCUGUUGCCACCAUGCAGCUAUUAAAGCAAAAAUGGAAUCGAUGACUACGAUUAAACAAUAUUGUAGAGAAAGAAGUUUGUGUAUUACUUUUCCUAUGGAAUGCAUAUUAACCAAUUAAUACUGAAGGAUAACGGGAAACAUACCUGGAUCAAGCUCUGUUCUUGUACUAAUAGCCAGCUCAGUUCCAAAAUCAGACUUUGCUGAAUUAUAGUCAGAAAUCUGGGACAUCGAAUAUCAAAGCAGUGAAAAUUAAAGAAAAACAGGGACAAUCAACAGGCUCACAAAAUAGCCCGUUCCAUACCUGCAUAGAUGCAGAGAUCCUUCUGGAACUGUCGGACUCUAACCGAACUAUGCAUUCAUUAAGUCCACGAACCACCUCCGAAUGCUGCACGAAGAAAAGGAAAUGUAUCUGAGAAAAGAUACCAAUGGACCAUCAUGAUUAUGCAUCAGCAACAAACAGUUAUUUUCAAUACCGCUACAAAAUCAGGACGAUAUCUGUAUGAUGGAUUUAAGAAAAAGGCAGCCAUGUGUAAAGAGUGGCAAAAUAAAGAAUUCCAGUUGCUAUCUAUCACAUUCCAGAAUGGUCCAUAUUUCCUGGCAUCAUCACCAUGAAUGGAUUGUAUAGCAAACUUGGCUCUGUACAUAUCAUUAUAUAUCGAUGAAAUUGACAAGCUUUGAACAGAAUCGACUUUUUGAAGAACUUGCAAUACUGGUUCCACAGAUUUACAAACAUAUUGCACCUUCUUCCAAAAUGAAGGAUUUAAUACAAUCAUCUCUACUUCUUGUCCCUCGCCAGAUUUAGAAAACCUGCUAGAAGUCCACUCAUUGGAGACAAACAUUCUCCGUAAAUUACCUCUGUGUUCUAGCAAGCACUGCAAAGUAGCAAAGCUUGAGGCAUUCCGAGUAACUGCAGGCCUCAGAAGUUCCAGCCCCUGGGUGAAUUCAUUCUUCAUGAAAUUUAACAACCAGCUCCGAUUAUAAAUAAACUUGGUAAUUUUUUGGCACUUUUCCAUGCAGUCUUCCACGGAUCUCAAUUUCAAAAAAUCUUCAAGCAUGUGAUCAACACAAUAGGUCGCACAUGGAGUCCAGAAUAAAUUUCUUCUCUUCUCCUCAAGCAUUUUCCCAGCAGCUUUAUAAAUGGGAGUAUUCUCGGUGAUUACCUAAGGGGCAGCAAAACAAAAAAAAAAACAAAAACAAUUAGCUUCAAGGACAUGAGCAAUUUAGAUUAGAAACUACUGGAUGAUUGCAGCAAAGAAACUACCUGCACCACAUUUUCUUCUCCAAUUUCAUCAACCACUCCAUCAAGAACGCUAAACAAGUUUGAAGGGUCAUCUACUAUUUCCAUGGCAUCAACUGACGACACAAAGUAAACACCACGGGGACAUGAAACCAAAAAGUUUAUAAAAGCCCUACCAUCUGAGUCUUUCCAAUUGUCUACCAGAAUAGAACAACCAGUAACUGCCCAGGAGGCCUUCAACUCAACCAGGUAAGACUUAAUAGUUGCAACUUCCUCCUGUAAUAAUCGACCAGACAUAAGUUGGCAUGAAGGGCCAACCAAGCCCGAUCCAUAUUGACCAACUGUCUCCAACAUCUUAUGAAAGUAAACAGAAUUUGCAGAUUGAAAAGGAAUUCCUGCAUAGCAAAAGAAUUUGCAAAUUGCAGACAUCACUUCUUUCCGUGACCUCCUAUUGCCUCCUCGUUUUACUAAAGCUUGUUUCUGCACCUGUUCAGUUUGUCUUUUGGUGGUUUUCAGAAAAACAGAAUCUAACCUUGACCUUUUAACUGACGGUUCAGAUCCACCACCAGGGGACAUUCCCCUGAAAGUACUUUUCAAAUCUUUGCUCAGUCUUUUGUCACCAUCAAUAAACCUUUCCUUGCUAAUAUGAUGCAGUGAUUCCUCUUUCUCUUCUUCUUCUUCUUCAUUAUCUGAUUGCAUAAAAUAAGCCGAUAUCUCAUUGGCAUCAGUCUGUACAUGUCUCCUUCCAGUACGAUGCCAUUUCAUAUUCUCUUUGAUCUUAAGAUACACUUCUUCGGGAGCAUGUUUGCAGGGAGCCACUUCUCCAGGAAUUCUGGCUAGAUGUUGUUUAAACCUAUUAAUACCUCCGCUUACUAUCUUUUCGCAGUAGUUGCACUUUACCUUCUUCUUCCUUUCAUCUUGAGCAACACCAUGUUCCCACCCAGGAUCAACAUAUCUUAAUGACCUCAGAGGAGUCAUGUUAGUACCAACGUUCCUGUUUCCCAUUAGUUGCCUUCCUCUAUUUCUGUAAGUCACAUGUGAACCAUCUUCUUCAUCAUCGUUGGAAUGGAAGUUCAAAUAUGACUGUUCAUCAUCUUCAGAUUGCCUAGGUUUCUUAUUGGAACGACAACCUUCCAGGUUUUCUCUCAUUCUCAAAUAUACUUCCUCCGGAGCCUUGUCACAAUAAGUAACUUCUCCUGAAACUCGAGCUAAAUGUUGCUUCAAUCUAUAUAUGCCACCACUUACUAUUUUCCCGCAGUAAUUGCAUUUAACCUUCUUCUUCUUUUCAUCUUGAGCAACUCCAUGCUCCCACCCUGGAUCAACAAAUCCAGAGGUGCGAAUAGGGGCCAUCAUUGCUACAACACUAGGGCCGAACUGAGCCCAAGCCUAUGGGCAUCUGUUUAGAGUUCGGUCAGUGCAUAUUUGGAAGCACUUGUCACCACCAGUGAACUCCUGUUACAAUUUGAUUUCAAUAGCUGGUUGAUCAAUAAAACGGCACCUAAAACAUAAGAGUCAGAGAAAUUUACGAUAAGCAACGCCCAUUAAGCUAUUCAAUCUUCAUUCCUUUUCAUCUUGACUAAUAAUACCUAUUAAAGAAACAUAGAAAGCCCACAUAUUGGCAUUUGCUUAUUUAAACAAAGAAAUAUGCAAAUCAACAUCAUUGAGAGAAACAAUCUCCAUAAACAAAAGCUCGGAACUUUAGAGGUAUUGUAAACACAGCUAAACCUGAGACAAACAGAAUAAGAACAAAGAGACUACAGUUCACUAUAAUCAAGAAAUAGAAGCUUGUCAGUGUUGGUAUGAAGGAAGCACUGAACAAGUCAGAACCCCUAAAAAAAGUUCAGGCAUUUUCAGCGAACAGGCGAUACACAGAAAACAGAAACUCUAAACACCAUAAAUGGAAUAACAAUUGAAAACAAUCAAAUGCAAUUAACUUAUUCAUUGUAACAAUAAACAGAAACCGUACAGCCUUCAUUGGCUUGAAUGCUAAUGAAUUCCGAGCCCUUUCUGAUCAUUUUGAUUGCAACGACAUUCACAAUCUUUGUUUAGCAUCUAGAAUUGAAAAGGGAAUUUGAUUUCAAGCCAAAAGGGUUGAGAAAGAGAGAGGAGUUUGACGAAGGGCUGGUCGGAUCGCUGGUGGAAUCGUGAGUCGCGAGUAGGAACGUCUGGGUGAAAUGGGUUUCAACUCGGCUCCUUAUUCUAGGGUUUCUCUUUGAGUUAAUUAUAGUUUUUUUUUUCAGAAAUAAAUAUUCCAUAUUAAAAUCUAUUAACUAAUGGCAAAAAAAAAAACAUAAUUGCAAUUAUACCCUUCAUUUUUUAUUUUAGAAAUAAGUUUUUCAACGUGCUUCCUACAUAUAUAAUUGUAACGAUAGCAUAAAUUUGAGUUUUAUAUAAAGUUUAAUUUCUAUAACUAUUAUAUAAAUUAACGAUAAAACGAGUAUAAGUUUGAAAGUAAUUAAACUAUCAACUGCGGGGUGUUUCUAACUUGUUUUUUUUUUUUAAUUUGAGUUUUAUAUAAAAUUCAAUUUCUAUAACUAUUAUAUAAGUUAACGAUAAAACGAGUAUAAGUUUGAAAGUAAUUAAACUAUCAGCUGCUUUGAGGUGUUUCUAACUUGUUCUAUUUUUUUUUUCUUUUGGUGUUGAACUUACACGAGUUUUGCAUAGCAUGUUUUGAAAAAAGAUCGAUUGUUGAUUCCAAUCUUGACAGAUUCUAUUUGUUUGGUAUUAAACAUUCAAUUUCAUCAAUCUUGGUAUUGAACUUACACGUGUUUUGCAAUUUUAGUAACUCAACUUUCAUUGGAAAAAGAAAAUGUUGAAAUAUAAAUUUGUUGAAAAAAUUAUAUAAAUUUACAAAUCGUAAGAAAGCUAAAAACUAUUGUUUAAAAAAGUUAGAUUUAAUCUUAGAUCAAAAUUUAGAAUAACAUAUCAAAUCUAAAUAUUAAUUAUAAACUAAAUCACCAAAAUUAUAACCUUCUCUAAUGCAAAAUUUUGUAAUUUAACCUAAAAAAUCUAAUUGUUAAGUAUUAUAAUUUAAUAAAUGCAUAAUAGAAGCCAUUGAUUAAUUAUAGUAUUCUUUUUUUAGUUGUCAAAUGAAAAAAGGGUUUUCUUUUUUUUGGACCCAGAGAAAUUAUCAAUGAGUCAACUCGGUUUUCUCAAAGCGAGACGAGUGGAGUCGACUCGGCCGAAUCACCUGAACCAAAAACGAAUCGAAAUGGUAACUCAGAAAAAUAGCAGCAGAAUUCAAACCAUAUUGAUUGAAAAGGUGGAGAAAUUGAAAAUGGCAGUUUUGUAGACAACGGAAAAGACGAGAAACGGUCAAUUUCACUUAACAAAAUACCAGCUCAAUCGUCGCCGCCGUCAUCGCCAUCGCCAUCGCCGUCACUUCUUGAUAUGACCACUGCUCCGCCAGAACUGGCAUUUGAAUAUCAAUGGGCGAAUGGCGAUUCUAGUAGCUCAAAGGUGGCAACAAUGGCGUUCUCACCCAUAAAAGCUUUGAGAUUCUGACAAAAAUAGUCGAUAGAAGAGAGCAGAAUGAAGAAGAAGCUGAGAAUCAGAUAAAACAGAAACACAAGUGAUAAAAUAAAGAAUUGGAAUCAAUAGAGAAGCUGAACAAGCUGCUGCAAUGCAACGUUCUCAAUAGAACUUCAAUUAGGCGAAAAUCUUCCAAAACGGUUAAGCAAACAGUGAUGAAAUUUUGAAAUGUACAUAGAAAUUCAUUCAGACUUCCCUCAAUUGAUUGUUCAUCACUACAUUGAUCCAGAAGGUUUCUGUGGAUGGUUUGAUAGUACCUCAACGCUUUGUAUUCUACUGAAUCUUCGAGGAACUCAAUUGAAUGAGACAGUUGAACAAGACUACCCUCUACAGUUAGUUUCCUUAAUCAACUACCUUCGUUAUGGAGUUCGAUUCCCCCUCAUAGAUCGAAAAUGGCGGUUACAUCUUUCUCCUGUAGCUUGUAUUCUUCUUCUUCAACCUUCCUCUCACUAUCAACAGCAUCUCCAUUACUUUUAGAAUAUCCAUUUUUAUCCUUCUCCUGAAGAACAAGAUACGCAAGCUGUUCCAAUGCGAGAGUAGCCUGUUUCUUGGCAAACGCGGCGUUUUUUAUCUUCAUCUCCGCAACAGCCCUAGCGUCAAGAGCUGCUCUCCUCAUGGAUUGAGCGGACACACGAGCCGCAGCGACAAUAGCUUUCCCUGAUUUAGCAUCAACAUUUUUUCCGGCUAAAAAGGCGACAGUAGACUCCGAUUGACAAAGGCUGCCGCCGGAGUCAAAACCAUCGAAGAAGACAAAACGAGGAUCGGAGCAGAGAGGGCAUAGGAAGGUAGAGGAAAAUCGAAAGGAAACGCAAGAGAGAUGAGAGAUUGAAGGGCAUCUGAAGCACAUAACUCGAUGAUGAGACGGCGGAGGAGUUGAAUCCUCAUAAACAUCGAAGCAAAGAGGACAAAAACGGGAGAGAUUGUGCUUGAGGACACAAUUAGUGCAGAGACGACGGAAAGUGGCUUUGUGACGAACAUUGUGGAGGAUCCAACAGGCGGAUUGAGAGAUGCCGCACUGUUGGCAGUGAGAAAUGGAGUUGGAUUGAAGAUGGUUGGAGUGUUGGCGAUUCAUCGGAGGAACAGUAGCAUUCGCCGGAACAGAAACCCUAGAAUGGGAGACGGAGAGAGAGAAUCCAAUGAAAGCCCGGUGGGGAUCUGAGAAGAAGAAGAAAGAAAGAAAGAAAGAAGAAGGAAAGAAAGAAAGACGAAGAAGAAGAAGAAGAGAAGAAGAUCAAUUUAAUCUUCGACGCAUAUUUAAAAUAUUUAAAAGACCAAUAUUCAUUAUUUUGCUUUGGUUGAAUUUGAAGCUGAAGUAUUUUAUUUCAACAAAUGAGGCUAAGACCCAGUGGAAAACUUCAUGCCGCUUGGCUCUUUCUUCUUUCAUACUUAGACUGCGCCACAGUUAUACUUCUUUCUCUAAAAAGAAAAUUGUAUCUCAAUUAUCAAGUGGCACUUUUGAUGUCAUUAUGUGGAAUCUAAUAAUUUUAUCAAUUUCUUUUUUAAAUUAAUAAUAAUAAUAAUAAAAAGAUAAAAAUUUAUGGAUACAAAAAGAAAGAACCACUCAUAAAAUAUAGAAGGAAAAAAAAACUUAAAUGGACUAAGAAAUUUUGAUAUCUAUUUAUAUGUUUUUAUAAAUAAUUUUUUAUUAUUAUAUUUGAAAAUGCCUUUUUGCUGAGAAAGUAUGAAAAUUCUAUUAAUUUAGAUUUUUGUUAUAUUUUUAAAUAUGUAUAUUAAAAUGCAUAAUUAUCAGAAUAUGGUAGCACACUCUACACUCACAUCCUUAAAAUUUAAAAUUAAUUGUGCAAAUUAUUUACAACCAUUUCCAUUUCAAUCAUCAUUUUUGGAGAAAGAUACAUUUUAACAAUCAAAUCCGUAAUUGCAUUCUCAAAACAAAUUCCAAAUUGAAGAUUAAAAAUAAACUGAAAAUUAAAACAAAUCUGAACUCAAUACGUUCAAAGAACAUUGUGAUAAUGAAGCAUAUCACAAUGAUAAAUUACUAGAAUAAGAAUCUAUUUAUAUAUAUAUAUAUAAACUCAAAUGAGCAAAUUUGAUAAAUUUUGCUAUGUUUAAAAAUAGUUUCAAUUUUUUUGUAUAUAUUUGAAAUCGUGCGCACAUUUGAAAUCGUGUCUUUCUCACUUUGCUGAAAUGUAUCACUUUGGUUCAACUGCACACAUUUUGAACCAUUGAUUCAAGUUGACUUUUGUCUCAACAUGAGUCAAACAUUGUUUAUAGAACGGAUGACAAUUCCAAAAUUCAAAAUGCAAAGGAAAUACAUUACAAACAAUAUAAAGAAAAGAGAGGUUUGACACUUGGUUCGAAUGGUAAGAAAUUGCUAACUCAAUUGGCAGCCAUGAACAAUAUCUUCCUAAGUAAGUUCACAUAAACAUUAACUUCAAUUCCCAAAAGAGGUUAUAAGAUCACUCAACCAAAAAUUCUGAAUAAUCGUAGCUUUUUUUUCUUCUCUCUACUCUUUUUAUUUCAAAAUGGUCUUUUCCGGUACAGGUUUGAGAUGGUGAGAAAAUUUUUGAAAAGAAAAAUAUAACUGUAGAAGAAUACCAUCGGAUUAGAAGAUUCGAUCACCUCGUAGAGAUCCUCCGACUGCAGUUUUAUAAUGAAAUUGACUACCCGUAAGGGUUGGGGUCAAUAAGCAUACCUGCAAACACCAUCAAUAAAAGGAAAAAGCAGAGCAAAGUGCACAACUUGCGCUGAAGGCCAACUCCUAAUCAAUCUCCAGUCAUAAAUGGAUCUACUUCUCCAAGAUCAGCAACAAGAGGUUCCAACUUGUCUGUGUCCUCACCAUCAGUUGCGAAGUACGUAGGAAAUGGAAGGAUUGCCGACUUAUUGAGUUUCUUGUACACGGCGUCUUUUAUAAAUACAAAGUUUCCUUCGGCACCGGGGAUCUAAAUAGAGGUGGAGUUGUGCACAACAAAAACAUCAGACCAUGAUGUCCCAAGAGUAAGAUAUUUAUGUACAUGACAAAGACUCUAGAGGGGAUCACAUCAAGAGUUUAAAUUCGGUUUUUAGAAGAAACUUACUGGUCCUUUCACCCACAUCAAAUUCCUUGCAGGGUCAAUUUUGUAUAUCCACACAUUUUUAACAGUUCUCUGCUUUCCACCCAUACGCCCAGCCAUCUUUCUGCCUUUGAAAACCUGUAAAAUAACCAGGUGUUUUUCACCAUCAUAAAUCACAUGGAAUACAGUGAAAACAGACUAGAACUUUCUUUAAACAGAUCAUAAAUAGUUAUUCCACACUUUUGGAUUUUCUUUUCUCUGUAUCUAGAAACAGGAACAAGCUUCUAAAAUUCAACACAGGUUUCCAUGGUUAUAUAUGCAAAGAAAAUCAAACAAAACUCAAGUAUGUUCUAUUGAAUCACGGAACUGAAGAAGAUAAGGUAGGUAUGUGAAAGAGGAUUCAAGAGUGCAAGUUUUUUCAAACUUCAUUAACAUUAAAGCUUCACCAGAAACAAGGCAACAACAAAAAGAAUAUUAUUUUCAAGAUUGUAACCCGUGAAAACUGCCACAUGUUGCUCGACAGUAAUUCAUUCCACAAGCAGAGCUAAAUCCGUAAACCAUCCAAGGAAGAAUUAUGCAAAUAGACUUUCACCAUGCAAGUUAGUCAUUUAUUCUGUAACCAUAUGCUUCCAGCCAAUUCUUAUUUCUCUUCUAUGAAAUUGCCAUUCAUUUGGAACCCUUGCAAAUUGACAGAAAUCAAAAGACAUAGCAUGAAUAUUAGAAAAGCAGCAAAACUCCGAGAAUCAGAGGCAACCUAGUAGGCUACCAGUAUGUACAACUACAACUACUUGACUAACAUGUGAGUUUCAGGAAGCUAUUAAGACCCAAAACAUCACUCAAUCUUAAAAAUGAAUACCACCAUGGAAACAUAAACUCACCUUUCCAGGAGCAUCCCUCUGACCCGUAGAACCUCCGCUCCUAUGAGAUAAUGAUGCUCCGUGGGAUGCUGGCAUUCCUUUGAAACCAUGCCUUUUCAUCACUCCCUGAGCACAAUUAGAGAAAGGAUUAGCAAUGAGAGGCAUCACUUUCAUGGAAAAGAUUUUAUACCAUUUACAAAAGGUAAGAAAGAAAACAAUUUCGUUAUAAUAAUUCUGGAUCUCGUGAAGAAUUUUCAGGACACAGAUAUACAGCUCGAAAUUACCCAAACAAGCACACUAACAUGAAAGAAGACAAAGCAAUGAUCACAUAAAUGAUCAGCUACAUACAUCUUUCAACGGGGUUAGCUCCUCAAUUUAUAUAUAUGUUAUAUAUAAUUGCGUUUUUUUAUUAUUUGUCUCCAGGAGGUACAUGACCUCAUUGAAAAAUUGUCAUGUUAUCGUAUGAUAACACACACAUACAUCUCCCUGUAACUUUGAUGGUUAAUUUGUAUCUUGCAGAUCAUGCAGCAAGUCAGGUAAUUAAGAAUGCAAGCCAAUGAGCAAGUUCAAGCAUGACUAAAACUAGGUUAAAUCAUGAUAAAAUAUCAAUAUUUGGGUCAUUGUGUGUCACUCUCAUGUAAAUAUUUGCUUACUGCUUACUAAAUCUAUUAUAAUGCUCACAACCCAAAGUACGGAUUGCAAUGAUACAAUUUGUAAGCUGAUAAUGACAAACAAGCAUGCAUAACUUGUCCGAUAGUUGUUUCUGCUAAAACUCUCAUUUUAGAUUUUGGAGUUCAGUUAUUAGCAGAGUGGAACACCAUGAGGUUGUUCACUUGGGAUUUGAGCUAAAGAUAUUUACUGUUGUGGUUUUAGCAUUCUUUGUCAAUUAAUAGUUUUUUAUUUGCUAGAUAAGGUCUCUUACAUCUAUAUGUUCAUUUGGUGUAACUUGAUACUUUAAUUGGAUUUGACUUGCUCUAUAAGUUAAAGUUUGAGUUGUAAGUUGGACAUCAAAGAAAGUUUUGGGUAGUUAAACAUAACAAGUUUUGAAUCAUCAGUAAUGCUUGAUGAAAAGGCCAAUAGUUCAUGUUCUUGAGAAUCACUGGAAGAAAUAUCAGUGCAUACAGAAUAAUGUUGAUGAGCAUGAUCGACUAGAAACGUCAGUGCCAAGGAAGAAAGAGAAAGGGAACCAACAAAGUUUAUUAUAACUCGCCGCUAGUUUACAGCUAUCACUUGUUGAAGUUCAAUUUCAUAGUUCUGCUCAUUCAAUUGUCAUUGAUGAUUAAGCAGCUUUUAAAUGGUACUUUGACCUAAAUUCAGAGAGAGACCUGCAUUUAUAUGAAUCAAUGUUCCCACAAUAACAUUUAACUGUUUAAGUAAUUUUGACAUGUUACUGACUUAACCAUAAUAGAAAAUAUAAGGAAUUGAAUGAAAAGAAAAAGGAACAAAGGUUGUCAGUUAAAAAACGAAUGGAGUAAUGGUGCAAUGGUGCAAUGGAUUCACCUGAAAACCUUUCCCUCUACUUAUUCCUGUCACAUCGACAUACUGUCCAGGAACAAAAUGGCGAACGCCAAUUUCUGUACCAACUGGAAGAAGUGCAUCUUGUGACACUGGGAACUCCCUCAGCUUCCUCUUCAAUGGAACACCUUGAGCCCUAAAAUGGCCUAAUUCAGGUUUACUCAAAUGCUUUUCCUUCUUCUGUCCACAGCCAAUCUAACUAGCACCAUACCAUAGAACCUUUGGUCAAUAAACUCAAGUCGUAGGCAACAAAAUACAUAUGAACUGAAUAAAAAAAAAACCUCAAACAUAUGGAAUUAAAAAAGCUACGAAUGUUUAUUUCUAGCUAAGUGUAUGGAUGGAAGUGAUGACAUGAUAUGAGAUGGUGAAAUUCAGGUCCAAAACAACAAUUUGCAAUUCAGUUCAGUACAAUAAUAAAAUCCAUGGAAUUGCCAGAACGACAGUUUUAAAUCCCUCUUACACAGUAGAAUAAUAUAAAUACAAACACAUUUUCGUUGAGAGAAAUGAAAAAAUAUACAAGAGCAAAAAAAAAGGCUCAAUAAGAAAAGAGAGCUCGACCCUAACUAACUAUAGACAAGGACUCAAAUCCAUUAUGCCGAAGUAGCGUCCGUAACAUCAUUAAGCCAAAGUCUCAUUUCAUUUCUGCUUUCUUUGGUUCUACGACUGUGAUAGAAACUAGCAAUGCCAAGGCCAACGAAGUUGGUUUUCUAGGUUUCAGUCAUGCUCUUAAUUUCAGCUAAGUAUCAAAAGCAUCAAAUAAUAAUAAUAAACACAACACAGUAGGAAUGAGAAUGAGAAUAAGAGAUUUGAACAGUACCUGUAGAGCUGUGAUACCUUCUUUCUCAAUGGUCUUGACCUGAGACACAAUAUUAUCAUCAACCCAGAGCACAGUGAUGGGUAUCCUAGCUCCCCAUUUAUCCCACAACGCCGACAUUCCACACUUGACGGCAAUAACACCCGUCCGCGUAGAGUUACUUCCCAUAGUACCAGGUUUAGCUUCAAAAAUCGAAGAAGCUGACAAAGACCCAUCGCUAGCCUGAGUCAAAUCCUGGGUACUGAAAGCACGGAAGAAGUAGUAACAGGACGCAUUUGUCCUUGAAGAAGAAGAAGAAGAAGAAGUAGUAAUUGAAUGAGAAGCGCUUGAAUUGAUCGAGAGAAGACGAAAACGAGAAAUGAGACCUCUAGAUAAAGCUGACAUGGUGAGAACCGAUCACAACGAUUAUGAUACUAAGUUGGUAAAAAUCAGAUAGGAAGAAGAAGGGUUUGGUUCAAAUUUUAGGGUUGAUCUCGAUCUCCGAGACUGUGGAAUUUCAUUGUCUUCCUCUCUUGUGUUAUGCAACUGAUGCAGUGUGAUGGAGCGGCAGCAGGAUGCACCUUAGGGGUUUAGGGUUCUAAGAAAGCAAAAUCGAUGGUAUUCAAAAUUAAUAAAUAAUUAAAAUGGCAUAUUGCAAAAACCGCCCCUCACAAUACAUUAAUACUUUGCAGUUAUACCCUUCGAUUUUCCAUUUUAUAACUUUAGUCCUUUUCAAUUUGGUUAAAUUAGACCUUCAAACUUACUACCAUCUUUAAAUGUUAUCGUUUUUCAUAAGUUUGAGGUUUUAACUUUAGUAUUUAUGGAUACGAUUUCUAUCAUUAUUGUAAACUCGAGGAUUUAAUUUCAACACUUAUAGACGUUUAGGAGUUCAAGGGUAUAAUUGUAAUUAAUAUCAUAUUUUGGAGAUGGAUUUUGCAAUUUACCUUAAAUAAAAAAAAUAUAAAAGUACCUUCUUGGACACAUGGGGCAUUCACAUUUUUCUUUAUUUUAAAAAGUGUUGUAUUCAAAUACGAUAAAAUUAAUCAAAAUAUAUACAAAUAUAACAAAGUGUUGUAAUUUGUGUCUAUUGUAAUGUUUAUAGUAAUUUAACACAAAUAGAUUGUGAUUCUUUUGUUUAAGUAAAUAUUUUUAAUACUUUUGUCAUUUAAAAUAAUUUAUAAAAUAUAUAAAAAUAAUAACUACGGUAAAGAGGAAAACAUCAAUUUUAACAAAACUUAGAGUUUUAUCAACUAAAACUUACAUGAUAAUUGUUUGGUUUAAGGUUUAAUAGACGUAUGAAAAAAAAAAGAUGUUAUUGAACAAUAUGUUUGAUGUUUGUGAAUGAAACACGAGUAUGUGUGAUUGUGCAUGAAAAAUGUUAUCAUAGUUUUAUGAACAUUUACUUAUAUGAUUUCAAUAGCUAAAUUGAUUAGAUAAAAUAUAUCAUUCAAUGUACUCGUAGAAAUUAAUAUCAUGGUCGCGUUUACCUUAGUGAAGACAUAAGAAAUUGACGAUGUAAAGUGAAAAGUGGUGCUAUUUGAUUACAUUUGAUGUGUUUUUACUUGUGUUGUGCAUUUGUAUUGACAUAUAUGACUCACUUUCAAAUGUGUAAAAGAAAACACAAAUCAAUUGACGAAUGGUGCGUACUUGAUUCAAUUGAGUUUGAAAAUUACUUAAUCGUAUUGUUAUGGUUGUUGUUACUAUUUUUAAAAUAUAUAUAUCUUCAAACGUUUUUUUUACCACCAACAUUACAACGCCGGACAGUUAUAGUAAAUGUGACAAAAUAUUUAGUAAACGUAUCAAAAGUUAUUUAGUUGCAUAUGUGAUCGUGGACCCUUGCAAUUAAUAUAUCAAUAGAAUUCCAUUACGAUUGCAAUAGAUUUCAUUGUAAAUUUACUUAUGAUUUUUAAAAAAAUAACAUUUUGUAAUUUAAUUUGAUAAAAUGUUAAACUUAAUAUAAUGUCUUAAAAGAAAGAAAAAAAUGCAUGAGAAUGCAAUAUUUUUUAACCCGAAAACCUUAUUUCAAGCAAGGGUGUCGUAAAUUCUUACCAACUAUCACCAUUGAUUUUCCUGUACCAAACGACUCCUAAAUGUUGCAGUCUUGAUGUUUUUCUCAAUUUUAGUUAAUUUUAACAAAGACACAGUAUAAUUUCUUUUGUAGUUUAAUAAAAGAUAGUUUUGCAUGAAAACUAAGUACGAUCAAACAUAAACAAUCAUUGAAUAAUUAAUACUAUACCUAAAAGCAACUACAAUAAUAUACAUGUUAUGUCCUCGUUUUGCCCUUACACAUUUUAGUAAUUCAUAUUUUUUCAUUUGGUUAUAUUAUUUAGGUCGAUGUGUAUACAUCCAAAAUGAUGCAUUUGUUGUAUGCAUGAGUUAGUUUGAUUUGGACCAUACAUUUGAAAUCUCACAAUCAAAUAGUGGAGUAUAUAUAUGGCGUCCCUUGUUUGGCUAUAACAACUCAAGUCAAAGUGGUUACAUAACAUAUGUCAUUUCGUACCGGUGUGAAACACAAACAUGUAAUCAAACGUAGACAUGUGUUUAAAUAGUAAUCGUAAUCAAACACAAAUAUGUGUUUAAAUAGACAACCAUGUACUCUUCCCUUCAAAGCCCAACAUUUCUCUUAAAAUAGUUGCAACAACGUAUAAGUUUAACGAUGUAAAAUACAGUUCUAUUCAUUAUAACAUUCAUUAAACAUUUGUUUAUGUAAUAAAACAAACUUUUAAGUGCAUUAAAUGUGUUAUGGUCCGUCAAAGUUGGUUACCAAAUGUUAACAUCGUAAUUGAUCGAGGAGUCGAGAUAAAACAUUGAAAGUGGUUUUCACUGGAUAUGGUAAUAGGUCCGUAUUAGAAAUAGAAACACCAAAAAGAAGAUGAAACCUUAUCAUUAGAAAAAAGUUAUAAAUAAUUUGACGAAAACAAAAUAAAAUUAAAAUAAACCUUAGUAUACCCGUUAUUUUACCAUUAAAUUUCCAAGUAAGUUAUAAUAUGUUAGUUGAGAUCGAUGUUCGAAAUAUUGAAGUCUGAUAAUUUUUUAAAAAUUUUGUAUAAAAUUGAAUAGAAAUGAUUGUAAUAAGUGAAUGAAACUUUAACGUAUGAAUUAAUUAAAAUAUAGUUAACCAUCACUAACACCAUUUUUAAUCUUUAAUACUUUUUCGUUUACACAAAACUUUGAACAAAAUAUCCUAAAGGCAACGAAGAUUUUGUUCGGAUGUGUGAAUUUAGAGAGUAACGACCGACUCCAUGGUUUGAAUACACUAAAAGGAAAACAAUCGUCGUGAUGAAAAGAAGAAAACAAAACAGUAAUCUGAUUUGAAAUAUGAACCCGAAAUGAGAAGUUGAAUCCGACACCGUCCCGCCCCGAAGUUCAAUUCAAAAUUCGAUUCGUUUCAUCGAACAUUUGGUAUCAGCGGCGAUUGGAGAAAGGGGUUGGUUCGCGCCUUUCUCCAAGAAAAAUGGAAUUUGGAGACGAAGAUGAUGACUGGAACUUGACCCCUGAAGAACUCGAUUCCCUCGAGAGAGACGCUGUUCAGAAGAUUGCUCAACUUCAAAAUUCAGCUGCUGCGUCUUCUUCUUCGUUCAAUGCCUUUGUUCCUUGCUCUGCUUCUAAUCAACACCCCCAUCAGUCUUUUCAAUCCAACACCCACUUUAAUUCGGGUGUCAACAAGGCCAAAAUCAGCAACCCAAAUGCCCAUGAUUCUGCAUUUCAACCUUCCCAGCUCAAUCCGGUACUGGGUUAUCGUUCUCGCGCGGUUUGUGCUUAAUCCAUGCUUUGAUUGUGGUUUUGUAGUGUGUUUUUUUGGUUUUAGGGGUUCCAUUUCUGUCGUUGUAGCUUCCUAAUCUUAUACCAUUUGUUACUAUACAGGUGGAAAACGCCUCUCCCUUGGCCGGAGCAUUACCUCCAUCAGCUGCGGCAAAAGAACAUGUUGGUAAGCUUCGUAGUUUCACUCUCUCUUUUCACUUUGAUGCACGAUCGUCUCUUUUACUAUAGUUAGUUUUUCAGAAGGCUUAGGAAAUGAUUACAUCCCUGCAUGUAUUUGAACUGUUUGUUCUUUAGCCUAUCGAUUCAUACUCACUUUGAUACCUUCGUAUGGUUUUCAAAUGAAUUGGAUUAUCUCAGUUUUUGUUUGGCUCCAUCUAACAUGUACGGGUCUUUUUGAUGGCCUGGUUUGUACUUUCAUGAAAUGAAAGCUGAGUUCUUUAAAGAAAAGACAAUUUCAUAUCUCAUCUACGGAAGUUUUCCUGAUAAUGCUCCAACAAAAUAAUGAGCGGCUAAAAAUUGUUUCAUAACUGAAUAUCUAUUGGCCGACUGUGUCAGGAGAUGAAGGUGCAAAGGAACGGCCUAAGCUUUCUGUCAAAUUUUUUCUUCACAGUAGCGGAAACGUUGCUGCAAAAUUUUCAUACGAUCAGGUGCAUUUUCUAGCUGCCUGCUGCGGUUUUCGUUUUUAGCCACUGCUGAUUGAAUAUGCCUUUACUUGUAUAUUAUUAUGUGUAUUUACCAGGUACUGAUAGAUGCUGUUCGAAAGAUCCCUAAAGCCACAUGGAAUGGCAAAGAAAGGUUUCCUCUGCUCCCUACUCUCUCUCUCUCUCUCUCUCUCUCUCGUGAUGGUUGUAGUUGUUUGUUACCGUUUGUAUCUCUUGAACAUUUGAACCUGCAGAUUAUGGAUGUUUCCAGUAUCUAGUUUGUCAGUGGCAGAAAGCGUCCUACGUGAUGUAGUUGGUUUUAAAGUUGAGGUGGUAACUUGUGCCUCGUUACAUUUUUCUGCAAUCAAUCAAUACAAAAUAAGAUUUAUGACUUAUGAGAACACUCUGACUUGACAUAAUCUAUAUAUUCUAAUGAUGUAGUUUAGGCUUUUCACAGGUAGAGAACUUAGAUAACCUGGUGCAUCGUGCUAUUGUAGCAGCUUCUCUAGUUCCUGAUCUACGAGGUAAACCUUGAACGUUUUAGAAACUCAGUGUUGGUAACAACUGUGUUACAGUUUUCUUAUUAGUGAACUAUUUAGCAUUUUUGGCAUCUUUUGCCCCUUCAGUAACAAUUACUUCUGAUAAUUUGUAGUUUAAGUUUUAGUGUGGUGAAGGGUUAUUGGCAUUGUAUCCUUGGGCCACAAACAUGCGUUACAUAAAUUAUGAUGUGUUGAUCAAGUGUCUGUUUUAAAUUUGUAUAUAUUAAUGUAAAUGCUGAGAAAAAGAGUGGGAUGACAUUAACCUUUUCUUUUGAUUCCUGCUGGAGCUAGUGCAACGAAUUCAUACGUCUUAUUUUUGGGCUUAUAUUACUGAAGUAUUUGCUCAGUAUUCUCUCUCUCUCUAUUCGUUUUUUAUUUUUCAUAUAAGUUGAAUUGAGAUCCCCCCAACGAAAACUCAGGUCUUGGGUUUACUCCUCAUUGUCCCUUAUUGUGAAUUAUUUUCUUAUUUGGGGGGUUGUGUGUGUAUAUUGUAUCAAUGUAUAUGCACACACUAAAUGAUUUGAUGUUCUGUAUCAAUGUAUAUACACAGGUUAAAUGUUUUGAUGUUUUCUAUAAUUUUGCACAGACAAAUAUAACAAGUUGCCUGCCGAUAUUGAAUCAAUGCUUUUGCCAUUUCAGCGGGAAGGUGUUAGGUAUGACGUAGUGGAGAGCUCUGUUAGUCGUCAUUGAGUUAUGUCAAGUUCAAGUUUUAAAUUUGUUAUGUUGUGGUUUUCUUAUCCAUCUCGAUCGAUUGUUCCUUUCAGGUUUAUUUUACAACAUGGAGGUCGUGCCCUUUUAGCAGAUGAAAUGGGGUUAGGGAAAACGUUGCAGGCAAAUGAUUCUUUAACUAAACAUUGUAAAUUGUGUUAUGUUAUAUUUGAACAUUUUCUUUGUUUCAUGUUUAGCUUUACUAAGGAUAGAUUUAAGUGGAUGACUUAACGAUAGAUUGUAAACUGCUGCUAUUUGUUUUAUGUAAUUGUUGCAUUUUGUCUUGGACUGUGUACCUUUAUUGAUCCCAUGGGACAAUGGGAUAUCUAAUUCAAUUGGUUUUUUGACAACUGCCAAUCUAAACAUCUUAAAAGAUGCCACUAGGAUAGUUUUUAUCUAGAAUUUGGUAGGGGUGACAAUCAAAGACCGAAAAAGUGAGCUGACUGACUGAAAUGAAUCAAACUAACUUUGGUCAGUGGACUAAGAGUAUAAUUAGUCCGACAAACUCAAUAGGAACUCAAACCGACCAAACCCACCAACCAUUAAAAAGACAAUUUGCUAAUGGUCUUCCUAAGGUAUCUUGUUCUAUUAUAUUUUUAUAAGAAAAUAAUUUCAUUGAUAUGUGAAAUUACCAAAGAAGGGCUUUUGCUUGGAACAAAGGGAGUUCCAAGAUAUUUCUCCAUUUGGUCGAAAGAGAUGAAAGAUUAUAAGAGCUGUAGAAAGUUGUACAUCCACAUUAAGUCAUAGCAAGAAAGAUAAUACGUUCAAAGUAGCCAUAAAAAAUGUUUCCUUUAUCAUUGAAUAGUUGAUUGUUUUGCUUCUUCUAAGUGAUCUAUAGGAAAGUGUGAAUCAAAUUCAUCCAUAUGGCGUUUCCCAUCCAAGAAGAGAUGACCAUUUAGAGUGUAAAUAAGAAAGCUGCCUAUCUCAUUGGGAAAAGUUGUAAACCAUCUAAAGGCUAGAGUGAUUUCCUUCCAAAAUCUAUCGCUGUAUUGACAAGUAAUGAACAAGUGACUCUGAGUUUCAUGGUCAGUCGUACAAAGUACUAAACAGUCUGGGGAGAGAACCAUGUAAGGAUUACGUUGUUGUAAUUUGCCGAAAGUAUUGAUGGCAUUGUGGAGAAAAAAAAAAAAUUCUUGGGUUAAUAAAAAUCCACUCAAACAAGGGAAAGGAUGGAGCAGUCAUAUCCAAAUCCAAGUCGAGAGAAGAGAUUUUUGUCAAAAAGUAACAUAUUUCCAAGUGUCCACAGCCGACUAUCUUUGAUGGGCAACUCCCAUACAUUCAAAGAAAAGUAUAGGAGAUUUGUUGGCUGAAUUUAUAUGGGAUUUUUUGUGAUCUAUAUAGCUAGGGUGCAACUCUUGUAUAUUCAAAGAGAAGUAACGACCCUCUCAAUCUUUACUCACAUCCAUCAUAUACUUGCCUCUUAAUUAGUGUAAAUUGAGACUGUCCUUUUGUAAUUAUAGCUUAACAAAUUUCAUGACAAUUGGAAACCUUUUUGUAGUUAGUUGGAUAGACUUCCUUUUCUGAACUUCAAUUAUAUCAAUGAAAUGUCUAUGUUUGCUGUAGAAAAAAACAUCAGUUUAUGAACUAAGAAUGAGUUAGGCCUUUAAAGAUUUGAAAACUUCUGAUUUCUUUUUUAAUAAAUUAAAAUUUUGUGCAUGUGAAUAAUCUUGGUGUUGGAUGUGGCUGGAUAAUGUUCAAGUUUGGAGGUGGGCUUAUGGUUGCCUUUGCCAAUUAGGUGGAAUCAAGAGUAUGUGGAAACAUCACUAAGAGAAAAACACACUAAUGAUGAUUUUGCUCUUUGAAGAGCAACUAACUAGCAUUUUACAUUGUUUUUUCUCAAAAUAUCAUACAUCUAUGAAAUUGUUUCUUAUACCCCCCCCCAAAAAAAAAAAAAUACACUGCUUUAUCUCAAAAUCAUUAGUUUGCUCAUAUGUACUGCAGGCUAUUGCUGUUGCUGCAUGUGUUCGUGAAGCAUGGCCUGUUCUUAUACUCACACCAUCUUCCUUACGAUUGCACUGGGCUGCAGUAAAUAUUUUGUCAACUUCACAUCUUUUUUAAAAGGAUAUUUUUUUUUUAUUCUAAAAAAUUAAAAAGAUAUUGUUUACACCAUCUUACAUUCUCUUCUGGUUUCUUCAGAUGAUUCAGCAAUGGCUCAAAAUUCCUUCAUCAGAUAUACAUGUAUUCAUCUCAUCCAUAUUUCUGUAAUUGCUUGCCCUUUUGUGUGUUUAGGUGUGUAUGUACGUAUAUAUUCAUGUAUGUGUAAAGGAAAUUAUGAAGUGAAUUUGUAUCUUGUACAAGAUUUCUGGUGGUGAUGGGGUUUUAAAAAGGAUGCUUGAGUUACAAGCUGUGGAUGUUUAUUUUUACUAGUUUUCCAAUUAGGUUGUUUUAUCCCAAUAUUGCGGGUCAAAUAAGGGUGGAUUUACAAUACUCUCCUCAAGCAGCAAGAGCAGCCUUCAUCUUGAUGGCCUUUUCAAUAUCAUCUCCUAUGACGUGGUUCAGAAGUUACAAAAUAUUCUAAUGGCAUCGGAGUUUAAGGUACCUGUGCAUGUUCUUAUGUAACUUCUUGAUUUUUGUUUUGUUAUAUCGUUUCAUGCAUCAUGGAUACCAUUGCCUGUCUUAAAAAAAGGUGCCUGUGGACUUCUUCUGUUCUCUCUUGCUUUUGUUCAUUUAUUUUCCUUGUUGAUUGCCAUUAUAAGGUUUUCAUGAGUUACAGGCUGGUUUGGUGGUUGUAAUAUUAUGAAGUCUGUUUUAUUUGCAGUCGCGUGGUUGCAGAAAUUAUUUGUUGAUAAUUGUGUAUCAGGACUGCAAACAAUGUACUUCAUAUUGUACACAGUUCCUUUACAUCUUGACUAUGCUUUGAAAGAAUGAGUCAUUGUAACUUCUAAAUGCCAAUGUGACUGAGAUAUCAACCUAGUCCUUAACUGUGUCGGCAAUAUUUCAACGGGUUUGCUUAUUGUCUACUCUCAAUGUUUAUACUCUUAGCACUGAUCUAGGUACUUAUCAGGUUGUAAUUGCAGACGAGUCACACUUCAUGAAAAAUGCUCAAGCGAAGAGGACAGUUGCUUGUGUGCCCGUUAUACAGGUUAUCUUGUAUUCUUAAUGCAGUCACCCACAUACAGGGAAUUUUUAUGGCAAGUUUAUUUAUAGGGUUUAGCAAGAGUGAGGCACCCCUUUCAACUUACGUUUUGGAACAAAUGUGUCUAUCAUGCUAGUGCAUUUGAUUUGACCGAGUUGACCGAGCACAUGUUUCUAAUAAGUCACAUUCUAUCAGUUUGAAUGGAUGCAUUUUUGGCAAAGAUGGACACAUUUUGGAAAUUGAAUGUAUCUCUUUCCAGAAUGUGUGAUCUUGGCACGUGGGUUUUAUGCUUAGGCAUUCAUUUUCCUCUAAACCCUUACACAUUUUGAAAUUUUAUUUUCAGAAAGCUCAGUAUGCCAUUUUGCUCAGUGGAACUCCAGCAUUGUCUCGACCAAUUGAACUCCUCAAGCAGGUAGAGCUGAUAUGUUCUUCUGUCUUCAUGUUAUGUCUUAUACACCCGUGACAUUUAAUACCAUGUCUGAUGUAGUAUUUUGUUUACGUCAGUUGAAUUUGCUUUGAACUUUGCAGCUGGAAGCUUUAUAUCCAAAUGUAUAUAAAAAUGUUCACGAGUAUGGCAACAGAUACUGCAAGGGUGUAAGGAACAAUAGCUUCAAUCUUCAAAAGCUGUUACAUAUAGUUAUGGUGCUGUUUGAAUCACUUAAAAACAUCUUCACUUUUAGGGAACUUUUGGAUUAUAUCAAGGUGCAAGCAACCAUGUAGAAUUACACAAUCUGAUGAAAGCAACGUUGAUGAUCCGCAGGCUUAAAAAGGAUGUUCUUUCUGAGCUCCCACAGAAGCGUAGGCAACAGGUAUUCGGUGUUUGUGCGCUGUGUGGAUGGGUUGCACUUGAAGAAGGUCCCAUGAUACUUCCUUUUGUUUUCUCAGGUGUUCCUAGAUUUGGCUGAGAAGGACAUAAGGGAAAUUAGGGCUUUAUUUUGUGAGGUAACAUCAAAUUUCCGUAGACUUUUGUAAUCUUUCUUGAAGUAGCUUCUUUAAGAAUUUUCUGAACAUUUAGACUACUCUUUGGCUUUCUGUAGCAACCCAAGUCUUACAGGAAACUUAAUAACUUGUUCUGCUCCCAAGUCUUACAGGAAACUUAAUAACAUUGUUCUGCUUAAUGGUAAAUAAUAAUAAUAAUAAUAGGAAUAAUAAGGAAAAAAAAAAAAAGAACUACAAAGACAUAAGAAAAAUGAAAAAAUCCUCUGGUUGCAAGCAACUGUAGAAGAUAACCUAUAGUGAAUACAACGGUAUAGGUGCCACUCUUUAUAAUUUUUUAAACUAGUUUUUGUUUUGUAAUAUAGAAUACUUACUUUCAAACUAUCAUGAGUUUGUUUAGUAGUCAGUAACAGUCAAUGCAAAUAAUAAAGAGCUUAGGCAAUGAGUUCAACUCUCAAGCAAUGGUGGUCACCUACAUUGAAUUUAAUGUCGUAUGAGUUUCUUAGUCACCUAAAUGUAGUAAGACAACCUGUGAAAACAAUUGAGGUGCAUGCUAACAAGGUCCAGCCACAGAUAUGGAAAAAAGAGAUAGAUAACCUAUUUGGAUGAUUGUUUCGGGUUGAUUUUUUGAAAAAUAACCUGUAACUUGAAGAGAUGAUUCGAACAUAGUGGCAAACAGUGAAUAUUACAGAGCUAAUCAAAGUAGGAAUAAAUGCAUAAUAUCAGCCAAUGGUUUUUUUUUAUAAAAAAAACAACUAAAUGGUAACUAUGAAGAAACUACUUUGAACUAACAUCUUGAUAUUUUGCGUCCUUACACUAACUACACGAUAACUAUUCAAACUUAAUCAAAACCUUCAAUCUUGUAUAAAUUAAUUAACUGUAAAGAAACUAACAAGUGCGUGCAGGGGGAGUAAAUUCAGUGUUGUUAUACUAAUGUUGCAUGUUUACAGUUAGAGGUUGUUAAAGGAAAAAUCAAAGCCUGCAGAUCAGAGGAGGUAGAAUCGCUGAAGUUUCAACAAAAGAAUCUUAUUAACAAGGUAACUAAUUAUUUUAUUGCAUGGUAAGUGUUAACAUGAUAACUAUAAUUACUGAGUUCAAUUUUUAGUAGUAACUAAUAAGUUAGGCAUGGAGGUUUGUAGAGAUAAUUUGAUAUUCUUUAUUGAAUAACUUUGAAAGUUUUCCCUUGCUUAAAGUCUCCCACUUUGUAAUGGAACCAGAUAUACACUGAUUCUGCUGAAGCCAAAAUUCCAGCAGUUCUUAAUUAUCUAGAGACCGUAAUUGAGGUAUCCUUUUCUUUCUUAUGUAUAAUAUAUCUUCUUCUUAGCUCUCUUUCACCCAAUGUGUGUACACUCUGUACUGAACCAGUUUGGAGUUAUGUGAAUGGCUUAAGCCACACCUGGGGAAAUUGUAGAAUUGUUCAAAGCCUUUAUAUCUUACCAUUGUUGCAUCAAUCCUAGAUAAUCUUUUUUUAUUUUUUAUUUUUUAUUUUUUAAGAUGGUCUUUAAGAAGAAGUUGUAGCCUUAACCAUCAAUCAAAUGGUCAAAUCGCCAUAUCCCUGGAUUACUUUACAACUAAUUAGUAAUUAAACUAGUUUCUUCCAGCCCAUUGAUUUGUCAAAUCUACUCAUGGCUCUUGUUUUUUUUUUCCUUGUCAUUUUUCUUCUUAUCAGUUUCUAAAUCUUGAACAUCAGUGUGUAUGCAUUCGUAAAAAUUUCAUCAAUGAUUGAACCCUUAACAAAAUAAUUCCCACAGGCAGGUUGCAAGUUUCUGGUUUUUGCUCAUCAUCAGCCCAUGAUUGAUGCUAUACACCAGUUUUUUCAAGUGAGGGACUGUAUAUCUCCUUCAGUUUAUGAAUCAAGUUUGAGGUUGCUUGAGAUCUUAUAUAAACUCAUAAUUUCCAGAAAAAGAAAGUGAAUUGCAUUCGAAUUGACGGCGGUACUCCUCCAGCAAUGAGACAAGCUCUGGUUUCAGAGUUUCAGCAGAAAGAUUCAAUCAUGGCAGCAGUGGUACAUUUUUCAUUUGGCCAAAACAUUCAACAGUUUCUAAAUAUUAGUUUUAAAUGGAAACUAAAAUGGCAACUGAUAACUAAAAUUCUUGUAGUUAUCUAUUAAAGCUGGAGGCGUUGGGCUAACGUUAACCGCUGCAAGCACAGUUAUUUUUGCCGAGCUUUCUUGGACGCCAGGUGAUCUGAUUCAAGCUGAAGAUCGGGCUCAUAGAAUCGGACAGGUAGGCACAUGCAAUAUAUUCUUAUAAGUUUCAAGUCCAAUAAUAUUAAUCCUCAUUGGGUGAUUAUUGGUUUCUAAUUCGACAUAGUUGCAUUGUUGUUGUAGGUGUCUUCUGUUAACAUACAUUAUCUACUAGCGAAUGACACAGUUGAUGAUAUCAUAUGGUAAGUUACUUUGAGCAUUGGCUAAACGAUAUCUGAGCGCAAAGUAAUCCAUUUAUUUUCUUUUUACAGGGACGUUGUACAGAGCAAGUUAGAGAAUUUAGGGCAGGUAACAUGGUUCUCAACCCUUAAUCUUUUACAAAUAAAAUUUUGAAGGUUUAAAUUAUUUUUUGGUUCAUGGCCUUUGCAUUCAUGGCUACUCUCUAAACCGUUAAAAGUUUCUAGUCCUUCACUUUGACAAAAAAAUUAAAGCGAAAAGACUUUGAAUAAAUUCUGAGACUAGUCCUCGUUCUUGUUUUUUUCUCUCCCUUUAAAGAAUCCUUGUUAAUUUUUUUAAAUAGAUUCACAUUUAUCUUUUUUAUAUGAAAAUUAUAGUUUUUUUCUAAAAGGAAACAACCUUUUAUUGGAAAAAAUUCAAAGAGUCUGAUGCUAAAAAAAAACAUCAACCUUUAAGAGAUGAGAGAAACCGAAAAAAGCCAAAAUUAGACAAUACUAUUGGGAUACAACGAAGAUAAAAAUGUAUGGAAAUUCUUAUUAUUUAAUCAAAUAUAACUUUGAAGGUUAAAUUUUAAGAUUUAUUGAAAGGUGUAAAUUUGCAACUAAAAUGGAAUGAAACAAAAAAUAUAGAGAUGAAAGUUUGCAUAAGUAAGAUAUAACGUUUAAAAGUUCAUAAUGAAAUCGAUUAAUACAAACAUUUGAAGACCAAAAUAAGAUCUGAACUUUGUUGUAAUUCCUGAUUUUGUAGUUUGUAUUCAUAAUUAGUGUUUGAGCUUGUGAAAUUCAGAUGCUGGAUGGGGAAGAGAACACAUUGGAAGUAGCAGUGAAGCAACAGCCGAUUACAAGUAGCAGUCCAAAUUCAAAGCAAAAGACUUUAGAUUCUUUUAUUAAACGUUGCAACAAUGCAAGUGUUGAUACCCAAUCCAAGUUGAAACUUCCCAAGCACUAACUAAAACCAUUCAAAUGUUUUGAUGGAGGUAAAAAGGGAAGGUCUUUAGACAUGUUUGCUGGGAUGAGUUUUAGUUAGAUUUUGUAUAAAAGCAUUAAAGUGUGACCUUAAUUAUGUACAGUUAGAAUUUUUAUGCUAAUAUCUCCCUUUUGUUACAGGAAAUUUGGAGAAGGGUUGAUAAUCAAAUUUGGAUAAGAUAUACUUUUAGUUCUUGAAGUUUCAAAAACUACAUCCCAUACACAAAAUAACCACCUAAAUAGAUAACAUAAUUUUACGAUAUUCUAAACUCAAAAUUAAACAAAGUGAGACUCAAAUUAAUGAUACAACUCAAAGCUAAUCCAAUUGCCUAACCUAAGGGCUUUGCAUCUCGAGCAAAUGCGCUAUUUGAGUCAAAAACAUAAAUAAAUUUUUUGAAAAUAAAUGAGAAGAAAGAGUUUUAGAAACAAAUUAUAACUCCACUUCAAUUUAAAUUUUGUUUCAAUUCAAUAUUUAAAUUAGAAAUAGAAUUUUAUUUGCGUAACGCUUACCACUUAUGAACUAAAUUGAAACAAAAUUUAAAUCUUAUUAGUACUGACAUUAAAAUUUGUACUUAGAAAAAGAAAAAAUUGAAGUUAGAACAAACUUAUACCGUUUCAAUUUGGAAUUUGGUAUUCAAUGUUAAAAUUUUAUUUUAUAUAGGAUUAUUUUAAAUUCAUUGAUCGACAUUAAUGUAAAAAAUGCGUAUUCAAUUAAACAAAACUAAUCAAAUUAAAACAAUUUUCAAAUUUCAAAGUAAAAUUGUGAUGUUAUGAAACCAAAUUGAAACAAAAUUUGCUUAAAAUCAAUUGAUUUUUUCAAUUAAAAUAACAUUUUAGAACUUAUGAAAAAAGUAGACAAAAAAAGUUCAAGACCUAAACCCUACAUUUAUUAAAAAUUAAUAACAUUUUGAAAAUCUCAAUACUAGAAUAAAAUAAAAUUUAAAAGGAAAAUAAAAGAAAGAAAGUACAAAGCAAAUUGGUAAAAAUUAGAAAAAGAAAAGGGAAAGGAAAGAUAUGGAAUGCAAUAGAAUUAAGAUAGAAGAAGAAAAAAUAUGGUAUAAAGUGUAAGCUAACACAUUGUUAAUAAACCACUAAAUAAAUAUGCGUUAGCUAAUAAAUAUGAAUAAAUAUGCGUUAGCUAAUAAACUUAGAAUGAAUUUUUCAUAUUUAAUCACUUCUAUUAUUAAGAAGUCAUUUCAAGUUUGCAACAAUUAAAAGUAAGAAUAUGAUAUUCUAUAAUUAAUUGUCAAGCCGGUUUUAAGUCAUGACAAUGAAAGAUCGAACAUUAAACCAUAUAUUUUGGAGUCCGAUCAAAUGAAUAAUUAUGAACGUUAUUCAUUAUGAACGUUAGGCAUGAGUAAUGUGUAAUUGUGAUCAAAAUAUAGCAUCAUCAAUAUUAACAUAGGUUGUUACGAGAUAGAUAACUUAGUUCAAUCAAUACCAUUUAAGACAACGACAAAACAAGUAAAUAAGCAUUAAAAGAACAUCUAAUUGCAAUAUUUUAUUCACAAAUGGGUACAAAUAACUUUGAAACACCUAAAUCAACUAACCCAACUCAAAUUCCUUGAUGGAAUUGAGAUUGAAACAACUCUCUAGCUCCAAUGGAUGAAUUUUCUUUUAAUCCUAAUAGUUGGUUUAGGUCUAAAAACUUCUCUAUCCCAACCCACCUUAGUAUAACUAAAAAAGAAGAUGAUUAACUUUGUACAAACUCAUCAAAUAAACUGCACUAAAUUUUGACUUCUAUGAAAAGUAUCAAUUUAAAUUGCUGCAGGUGCUAACCUUGAUUGUGUCUGUCCCCCUUCUUGUCCAAGAUACUCAGCUACAAUUCUACCAACAUCUUCCACCCCAACUCCAAUGCACAAAGGAUUUUGCAUCUCCAUAGAACCCAAAACUCUCACAUUUGGUCCAUCUCUACAUUUUCCCAUACAUUUACACCCACAAACAGCAGCUUCAUCCCCCAUCACCCUCCCAAAUUCUUCCAUCAAUGCUGCUGCUCCUGCCUUCUUGCACUUGUUUCCCAUGCACACUUGAAUCCUCCCUACAGACGUCGACUGGGUUACUGCGAUGUUUUCGGUUUUCGAAUUGAGAAGUUGGGUUUGCAAUGGAAGAGGCAAUGUUGAUACAUGGAUGGUGUUGGCCUGGUAUUGAUCUGGGGAUGGCUGUGAAAGCGCUUUCUUUAAUCGGUAGCUUGUGGUGUUCAUAUGGCCUUCAUUGUCACUGGAUUCAGAGGAUGAAGAUGUUGAGUCGUGAAUGUUUUGUGUUCUAGCUGCCUUUAGCUUGGCCUUUUCUAGCUUCUUUUUUCUUUUCUGUUCUUUCUCUUCUGAUUUUAGCUGUUGGAGUUGUCUUGUCAAUGCUUCUCUUCUUUCCUCAAUCUGCAAUCAAGGAAACAACAAUCUGAUUAAUGAAUGUUAUCAGCCAAAAUAAAUACACCAAGGAAUCAUUCAUGAUGAUCGAGAGAAAACAGAAGAAUUCCAUGGCGAAGAAAUUUCAAGUCCAACUCCAAUUUAAUUCAACCGGUAUAGAUAAAGUGGCGCAAGCAAACAGGAAUAAAUUAGUAGGCGGAUUCCAGAAAUUUUCAACUUACAGAAAAGCGAUCCGACUGAAAUUCUUCAAUAGAACCAUGAUCGAAACGAAACAACAAGCUCGAUUCAUAAUCCGCGGCAGACAAUCCUUUCAACAAUUUCAAUUUCUUCUUCACCGCCUCCUUCUCCUUCUUCACAUUCCCCCCCUGACAAGUCGGCCCAACAUAAUACCGCAAAUAACCGUCAUCGCAGAACCUAGAAGAACCCAUUCUCCGACGACCAACGAGCCCCAAAGCACGAGUUUCUGUACCAACCGAACGACCGGAAACGGACAGGGUAGAGGGGCCCCGACGGGUAUCUAGGUCGGAGACUCGAACGGAUUGAGAAAAAUCGAGGCAGAAGAGGCCAGGAAGCUGGCCGGAAACGGUGCCGUAGACCUCCAUGGAUUUGGGGAAAAAGUAUUCGAAAUUAUUGAUUGAUUGAUUGAUUGAUUGAAGAUUUGAAGGAAAAGGGAAGCGAGGAGUCGAAAUUUGAAACAAAACCGAAGAAUUGUUGUCAACAAAAAAUGAAAAUUAAUGACGUGGCGAUUUUUGAUUGGACAUAUGAGGACCUCGUGGCGACGCUCGUGGACCACGAGCUUUUUGCAUUCCCGCGCGAGCGCCUCCUUAAUAUCUGCCGUUGGAUAAAUCUUCGUGGAUCGGAUGGCUGUAAGAUAAGCCACCUGGAAACACGUAGGAUGCUGACGUCAAUCCGCUUUUGAUUUCGAGGCUUUUUCUACCCAUUCGUACAAAUAAAUUUUGGAUUUAAUAAAAAGAAAAUGAAACGUUUUAAAAACGUGGUUUUAGCUAAAAUAAAUUUUUUUAUAAACGUGGUUGUAAUUUAUUUUAUAUAAAUAUUACAUAUAAUUAAAUCAUUUUAAAUAACAUAACUUUUUUUUUUUUGUAAAAUAUUAACAUUUAUAUGGGACUAUCAUAUACGAGUAGUAGUUUAUCCCAAUUCAUUGUAGAUAGAAUAUGAUAUUUUAUUAUAUUUUGUGAAUAUUUUAGUUUACUUUGGCGUAAAUACUUUUGAAAUGUUGAUAAAACUAUUUGAACGUUUAGUUAUUUGAAAACCAAUUCGAUUUAUUUGUUAAAUCAUCUAUCAUUGUCUUAAAAUACUGAUAUCACUUAAACAUAAAACAAAUUUAAAAGGAUGUCAAAGCUACAAUAAUAUGAACGACUUUGUUCUCUUUUCAAAGGGCAUGACAAGUGUACAAUGUUGACAAAAUUCUUAACUAAAUGUAUUAUUGUGACACUGGCAAAUUUGAAUCAUAUCUUUAUGAUGAAUAUUUUACAUGUUUUUAAUGAAUUUUUUCAUACAUAACAAAAUGGACCAAACUAUUUAUAAAAUAUAACAAAAUAUUGAUGUCUAUUAAUAUCUAUAAAGAAUAGAUAAUAAAAUUUGUUAUAUUUGUAAAUAUUUUCUAACAAAUUUAUCCUUUACAAUGAUUACUCAUUUUAAAAUACUCUCCAAAUCCUAGUUGUCGACUCCGUGGCGGUUCCUAACUACUAAAAUCUUGCCUACCUUUUACAUUACCUAUUUAUUUUAUGAAUAGUGAAAUAGGUAAUUGAUCGGACAAAAUAAAGAAAAAUGAAUUGAUAUCAUGUUCUCGUUAAAGAUUGAAAUAAUUGAUAACUAAACUUUUAAUAAGAAGUCUAUUAGGACCCUUUAAAAUUUCAUACCGUUUAAAAAUCAAUGGAUUGAAUUUUAGUUAUACAUAAAGUAAGUAAAGAGAAAUUGCGUCAAAUGAUAAAAAUGGCAAAAUUGGUGAUAUCAAACCGUUAUCAUAAAAAAAAAUUACCACUUUUGCAAGGACCCUAAAGCAAAUCCCUAAAUUUUUAAAAAAUAUAAAAAAUUAAAUACUCAAUUUGUAAUCCAAGAAUAGAAACCAUCUAAAACAAACUCCAAAGUUUGAAGAUCAAAUUUGUAUGGUCAAAAUUGUUGAUUAUCCGCACCUAUACGUGACGGUGAUAGAAGUCUAAAGAUCAAAUCCAAAAUUGUGCUAUAUUUGAAAAUGCAGUUAUACACCAUUUAUGAUAAUGUUUAACGAUAUUCACACGGAGAGUACGGAUAUACAUUAAAAAGUAAAAAAUUAUGACAAGUAGAUGAAGCUAAUUUUAUUUAUUUUAAAAAUAAAACUAUUUGAAACACCAUUUCUUUAAGCCAUUACUACAAAACAACCAAAUAUCAUAUAUCAAUACACUUCACUAACAUUAACCAAAUUAAUAAUGAACAUCUAUCUUAAUCUGCUAUCCCCUUCUCAUUUUCAAUAAAUAUACUACAAAAGAGUAAAUAUUUUACAUAAGGAGAGAGAAUAACUGUUUACUUGGUUAUGAUGAUUGUAUGCCAACUAUCAACCCUUGAGCAUGGGAUCUUCCAACCAUUCGUCUUGGAACCCAUUGUUUUAUUUCCUCAAAAGCACACAAUGUUUCCGAAUCAAGCCCUCCAGCAAACUGCCCAACCAAAAGCACCGUGUAUUUAGAUCAUGUUACAAAAUCAAUUGACCAAAUAGAGAAUAUUAAAACAGAAAGAACCGACACACAUAUUUACAUGGUUCACUACAAGUGUGUUAGCUAUGUCACGUGGCAGAGAGAGAAUGUUAUUGAAUACAGAAUAGUGGCGCCUCAAGGAUUAGAGAAUUUGUGGUUCAAAGGGACGUAUUCUUCUCAAAAUGUUACCUGGUGAGUUCUGUAUGCAAAAUGAAUUCCCUGAAGUAAUAGAGAUUCAUGGUUGGAUUCUUUAUCUGAACUACGAACUGAAUCCAGCUCCGUUUUCACCCUUUUCAUGUACAUCUUGGCAAGAUUCAUAGAAGCUUGCUUUAUCUGUAAAGGGUUUAAAAUGGAAAUUAUAUGUUGUAUGAAAAUGAUUGUUCCAGUACGAGGAGAGAUUUUUUAUGUUUUUCAAGUCAUGUACCUUACUCAUGAUACCGGAGUCUAGCAUCCAAUUUGUUGGGAGUUUCAGGUUUUGAUAAGAAUGCAUGACAGUACUCCGAAGUGUGAUUAAACGUUGUAUGCCUCGCUCCGACCUUUUAUUAUACGACGAUAGAAGGAAAAAUCAGGGACAAACAUGAAUUGGUUAAUAAAAAGUUUAUCAGAUGUGUUGGAGUUCUAACUUGUCUAACAAGCUCGCCAUCUUCUUCAAGGCUGCCUCACAUGGAGAAUUAGUGUCAUCCUUGUAAAAGGAGAUUUCAUUUUCCAACAGUUUGAGCGCACGGUAUUCUAUGGCCGCUUCUCGCAUGGCAUCAGCUUUUUUCUCAGGCCACUUGAAAUGCUUUAACACAGCUCGCUCGUCAGCCUGCAGACAAACAUUUAACAUCCAAUAAUAUAACAGGGGAGGAGCACGCAUACGGUCAUGUGUAGGCCAAAACAUUUCUACUCUUUCUCAACAUCACUAUUUUCACAUUGUUUAUGUCUUAUGAGUAAUUUUCAGUCACUUGGUUAACUUUCAAAAUAUAUUCAAAAUCUUUUUUGAUGGUAUGAAGAUGCACUAAAAGUGUAGAACUAGACACUAAAUUGAUUUUGAAUGCAUGAUUAAUGACAUGUUCGAGAGUGAUUUUGAAUAUGAAAAAAAAAAAAAAAUUAACUAUCUCUAAAUCACUAUCAAGCAUGCCCUUAAUUCAUGUAUCCUAUUAGCCAUUACAGAGUGGGCCUAAAUACAAAACUACCCCAAAAGUGCUAUUUAUAGGCACAACAAGAACAUAGACUAAACUAACUCAAACGCAGGAAUAUAUUUAUCACGGAACAGCAUUAAUUAGCAAACAGCAGUUUCAGUAGUUAUUUUAUCUGAAUGAUUGUCAUUUGGCGUUUUAGUUAGAAAGGAAUUAGUGGAACUAACAUUAAAUCUCAAUUUUGGGUCCAUAAAAAAGUUUCCUUCUGUUUCUAAAACUUAGGUCCACCAAGAAACAAAUGGCAUAUUCCAAAAGAUCAACAACCAUUAUCAGUGGCACAUGGCUGAGAAAUGUUGAGAUAAGAUAACAUAUGACUAAUGUACGUAGGAUUUCAAUUUCGGCACAGUGAAGUUCCACAAAUGACAAAUUUAGAUAAUCAUCUAAAGUUUCUGGUUUCAAGCAAAAUGUACAAAGCUGUACAGUUGGCCAGUCAACAUCAACAAGGACUUCACCCCAAAAUGAACAAAGUAAAGACCACGUCAUUCUCAAACCAACAGCUUCUAGAAUUUGAGGACAGAGAAUAGAUUUUUUUAGUUCAAAAGAAAUAUAAAAUCCAAUUCACCACCUCACAUGCCGCACUGCCUAAAGAGGAUAAAGCUCACAAAGGAAAAUGCCAACGAUUUUCUGGAUAGAUUGAGCAAUGGAAUAUGGUCCCAAGGUAACAAAGUUUUGCUUUUGCAGGAUGAUUCAGCCAUUUUAUAAAUGCUAAAGCCUUCCAAUUAGAAGCCAAGUACCCAGCAAGAGUUCCCGAAAUAGGUCCUCCUGGGACAACCCGACUUGCAAAAUCCAUUAUAAAAGACUCGGGGUCCCUCAAUCUCAAUUUCCUUUGUCGAGGGGAGAAGAAAAAAGAAAAAGAAACAAUCCAGUCCAUAGUAAAUUUAGAAGUCAGAGGGGGCCAUCUUAGGACAGUCUAAAAGACAAUGGACCAGCAUUAGAUAUACAUUAUAGGAAGGCACUAGAGGAUCACAAAGCCUAUCACAUGCUUUUCUUUUAUCGUUCGGGUGGAAGAUUAAACCAUUGACUAUUGAAUUCGUAAUUGAUGCCUUAAUCUACUAAACUAUGUUCGAGUUGACAUAAAAUCAUCACAUGUUAGAAACGUUGAUUAGAUCGUUGCUUUUCUCCUAAUAAACCAGACCAUAUUAACGAAUAAUGACCAUAAAUCUUCUGCAUAGUAAGACAUGAUAUGGCCCACUACACCCAGAAUACUUUGUCUUAAAACUAGCUCUUUCCAAAGAUGUAUACACAAUAAAAAAUAAUAAUAAAACUGAUAGAGAAAAAAGAGACAAGUAAAGAUUUACCAAUGAUGAAAGUUGGGAAUCAAGCCAAUCGACAAACUUGAGGAUAUCUUCAAUGUCCGUAUGAGCUGCAACAAGCACCUUGUCAAUGAGACCAUUGAUGAACUCUCCUUUGGUUUCAAUAUCUGCUUUUAUCUGAAAAUUGAAGAUGGGACUUAAUUUUUCUAUGUGGGUUAGAUUUAAUUCAUCAAAUAAACCAAAAUCAUGGCCUUACGGCUAAAAGAUGCGCAGAACGAUUCUGAAUUUCCCCAACAAUGCUAUUAUGCGCAUUGAUCGCAGCUGGUUUCCCCAACAAUGGAGGAUCUCUCUUCCCCUCUUUCUUUCUUAAUGAGUGAAAGAGGCGUACGAGGUCCGGAGAUUUCUGUGUAGCCGCUGCUCGGGGCAUGGACUGGACAGGAAGCGGCGGAGGCGGAGGCGGAGGCGGCGGUGCCCGUGGUGGUGGAGUCUUGCAGUCCAAAUCUCUAACAUUCCGACACGAACUUGAUGGUUGAGUCUCCAACUUUCCAUUUUCAAGUUUCUGAUUGUCCUCGGCGCUUCGUUGCGAUUCCUCUGAAACUGACUUCCUCUAUAACCACGAACAGAAAAUUGAAAACGAUUCUGAACUUCCUUAAAAAAUUUCAACGGCAAAUAGAAAGUAAUUUUCAAAGAAACAACAAUGGCAUCUUCUUCCUCACCUUGUCAUUAUUACUAACACUAGCGAACUUCGCUUCAGCAGCGGCUAGGUCACGAACGAGCAAAUCAUUCUGCGAUUGAAGUUCAAAGUUCAAGCUCUGAGACUUAUGCAACUCCUCCUUCAGCUCCACCAAUUGAGACUGCAAAUCUUUAAUCAAAUCCUCCGCAAAACAAAGCUUCUCCUGCAAUCCACUCUUAACUCCAUUACAGUCCUCAACAUUUACACAAGAACCAGCACCAGACAAAGAACGCCGGUGCAAAACUUGCUUGAGACCACCACGGUUGACCGUUCGAGCCGAAACUCCAACAUUCUCACCAUCCCUCCCCUUCUUAGGACCAUUCGGCGUCAGAGAUCUACUAACUUUCGAACUUUGCUUCUUCACACCAGACUGAGGCGUCGAUUCAACCGCCGAUACAGAAACCACCCGCUUCGGUGACUCCAUAGCCUUCAAAGAAACCCGCCCACCCCGAGAUGACAUCGUAGUAGAGUUCUUCACAGCAUUUGAUUUCCCCUUCUGCUCCAUUAAAACUUACUAGAAGAAAGCCAACAAUUCACACAAUGGUGGUGCCGCCGCCGUCGCCGCCACCGCACUGCCUCAGUUAUAAACCGGCGAAUUACCUAGCGGGCAACGCCAUGCACCGGCCAAACCUCAACCCAAGAGAGAGAGUGCCAAUAUAUAUAUAUAUAUAUGUAAUGAAAAUGGAAGAACAGCGAAGCAUGAACAAACAAAAAGAAAGGUCUAAAGGCAAUGAGGAUUUGAUUAACAAUGGCGAUUAAACCCACUAGUCCGCCAUUAACUUAACUUAGAAUCUUGAAUUGAACCAACCAACCAAUAGGGUGUUGUUGGUUCCUUUUGUAUUCUGAAUUUGAAAUUUUUUACAUCAAUUGUGCCAUGUUCCACCACUUCUCACAACCAAACUUUCAAAAUUUUGGAAAGUUGAUAGUUUAAUCUUUGUUAUUAUAACUUUUUGCUUACAUCAUAAUUUUCGACCUCUCUAAUAAAAAUUGAUUAAUUUCAUGAUAGAAAUCGUCAUAAAAGGCAAAAAAAUGAUUGUUAGUUGGAUCUUUUCAAAGGUUAUCUAUACAAAAAAAAAUGUGUAUUCAUCAAACUUGUAUAGAUGAAAAUGAAAAUGGAAGGUUGUGGCUCAACAUCAUCUUUAUUUAUUUAAAUAUUUAUUGUUAACUUUUUUGCAUUUUGGGUUUGGUGGAAAGAUUUUUGCCAAUUGAAAAUUAAGCAUGAUAUGAAAAGGAAAUUGGCCCAAUUCUCCCCUUUUUAGGCUAUGCUAUUAUUGCCUCUUAUCUUGAUUUUCAUACACUAUGCUAAAUGCCAAAAUUUGUCUCCAUAAUUAGAAAAUAGUUUUCUAAUAAGGUUCAUUUUCAAAUUUAGCAAAAUAUGAAGACUACUUAUAAAAUAUAGCAAAAAAAUAAAUUAUCAAACCACGUAUAAUUUAUUUAUGAUUUUUUUCUUUUUUAUUUAUUUUGUAAAUAGUUAUAAUAUUUUGAUAUCCAUAACAAUUCACAUUUUAAAAUAAUUAAAUUUAAUCUUUAUAAUUUUAAAAAUAGAGAAAAAUUACAAAAGUUGCAAAAUAAAUAAAGUAUUUACCUUUCGUGACCUUUUGUGCUUUAGUGUGGUUUUCUUUUUUCUACUAAAGUGUAAAUGGUUUGUUUUUUGUAUUAUUGAUAAAAAUACAAAAAAAAAAUGAAUUUUAUAAAGAAAAAUAAAACAUAGAGAUUAUUUAUAACUUUUUUCAAAUAUAUCAAUAAGAAAACAAAAACAAAAUAUUUACAAAUAUAACAAAAUUUUAUUUUAUACUAUGAUGUGAUGUAUUAUAUCUAUAUUGUAAUCACCUCGUUUAAUAGUCUAUUAUUAUAUGAUGCUUUUUUUAAUACGUUAAUGGUGUGAGAUUUAAACCAUAGGUCUCUAAAUUCUAAGCACAUACAAAUGUUGAUUCUAUUGAAGUCAUUUCACUUUGUUGUUUGGAUUGUUUCAAAAUGGUCAAAAAAAAUUGAAUUAAUUAAUAGACAUUAAUGUUAAAGAUGGUGAAUGAAUAUUCAAUAAAAAUUGUUAAACAUAAAUAUUAAAAUAAAAUAAAACACAAAUCUAAGAAAAUAAUCUUUCUCAUUUAGUCUAAUCCAAUCACCUAACUUUACAACUCAUCCAAAUAACAAGCUAUUAAACAAUACAUAUAGACUAGCAAAGUUGGACAAACCCCUUAAAAUAAAUGAUUCUUAGAUCAACUAGUGUUCAUGACUAAUAGACCUAAAAAGGGUAAUUAACUCUUAACGAUUUACGGUUACAUUUGUUGAAAAAAAUGUGGUGAUUUCUAUUUAUUGUGUUCGUUGGAUGUUUUUAAUUACAGUGUCUCUUUUGAUUUGUAUAAACGAUCUUGUAGUUUUGUCAUGUACUUAUUAACUCAUGUAAUUGUUGGCUUCUUUGACGACUCACGUUUCUUAUUCUACAAAGCAAAUUGGUUGUAUAAUAAUUCCUAUUAGAAGACUAAUUAUCCUAAUUAGUUGUCAUUUGUGUUUAAUGAUGACACUAUUGUAUUUCUUUUUUCUAAAGAGAAUAACGUUACUAGUAGUUAAUUUAUUUUUUUACUAUUUUCUAUAAAAUAAAAUUAAAAGAAAACACUAGGUUAACAUUUCUAUCACGAAUAAAAUACAUAUCAACUAGUUAAUUAUAUAAUGUGGAGGGUAAAUCAUUUUUUACAGUAAUUCAAUAAAACUAAUUUGAAGUUUUUCUAAUAUUUUAAAAUUUUCUAAUUUUUUUUUUUUUUACAUAUAGAACAAGUUUGAGUAUGCAAUAACUUAUUAUUAUUGUUGUUGUUUCAAGAAAUAAUUAAAUUUGUCUUACUUUUAAUUACAAACCCCAACGUUAAAAAGAAGAAUAAUUACAAAACCCUAUUAGUAUUUGAUCAACGAGGGAAAAAAAAGAAUAAUUAGAAGAUAAAUAGAUAUAAAAUUACCAAAUUGGCCUUAUGAUUUCUCCAACUAAAAUAAAAAACUAAAACCUAUGAGUUGUAAAAUUCAUAAAAAUUAAAAGAAAAUAAACUAAAAAUUAAAAUGAAUGAAACAUAUAUAUAAAAAACCAUUUAUUUUUUGGGGGUUGGUGGUGCUCUCAUUGUUAAUUCCUCCUACCAUACCCAUGUAAUUUGAAUCCUACAAAUUCAAAUUAUAGGAUGAGGCAACUAAUUCUUAGCAAUUAGCUUCAAAUUAUAUAUUAAAAAGAAUGAUGAACAAACUAUUUAUACUUCAUAAAAAAUCACUAAAACACAAAAAUUAUUAUAUUUAUUUUUAUAUGAAAUUGAUAUUUUGUCUAACUUUCUAUUUGUGACAAUUUUUUAUUCAUGUUUUUUAAAAGACUAUUCGAAUUAUAAAAAAAAUAAAAAAUUUAUUACAUUUUUUAUAUAUAAAUGUAAAUAUCUAGCAAAUUUUUUUUGACCAUUUUUCUUUUAUAUUAAAGAGAAUUUUUGAGAGAGUUCUUUUUAAUAAAAUAAGUAGAGAAAGUUUUUACAAACUUAGACACAAAAUUUUACACUAAAAUGUAAAUAUUUUAUCAAAAAUAAAUUUUGAUAAUUUUCUAUUUUUAAAUAUAACAAACUAAAGAAAAAUAUAAUAAAAUUUUAUCAAUAAGUUAAAAUAUAGAAAUAAGUUUUAGAAUAAAUUAUUUUAAGAUCUAUUAAAGGGCUAAGAGCACGUGCCCUUAUCUAACCAAAUAAUUUAUCACAUACAUAAAUUAAACUGGUCAUGAUCAAUGUUUAUAAUAAGAAUCAUAAUUACAAUAAUUUUAAUCAAGGACCUUAAUGAUUAUUCCCUAAAGAGAUAAACAUAUGGUUAUAUAUUAAACUUUAACAAAUCCCCAAACCUUAUCCAAAAUGAAAAGAAAAGAAAGGAAAGGAAAGGAAAGGAAAAGAACAAUAACAUACAUUCAUCUGUGAUUGGCCACCUGUAACUUUGUCAUACACGUGGCAUCCUCAAACUCCCAUACCACCUCUUAAAACGCCACCUGGCUUCUUGUCAUCUUCCUCCACGUCCACUCACCGUUUACCGCUUCCAGGGUUUCCAAUCCUAUAAAUACAAACCCCAAAUCCCCCAACUUUCUUCUGUACUCUAUUCUUAUUUCUCCUAAUUGUCCAACACUUUUCAUUUCCAUUCACUUUCAAAUUCAUCAAUAUAAUCCAAUGCCUUCUUCUUCUUCUUCUUCGAUUCGAGUUUACCGCCGCCGGAUUUCUCUACCGGCAGUGGCAAUGGCGGUGACGGUGGUGUUGCUGGUUUUUAUGGUGAGUAUAUGCUGGAGCGGGAGUGUGGGACAUAUGCCGUCCACGACGGAGGAGGCUCGAGAUUACCAAGAAAUGAAGAGCAAAGCGGAGGAGAAAGAUCAGACGGGGGAGACGUGGACGGAAUGGGCGAAAGAGAAAAUCACAGGGGGACUUGGAUUGAAGAGUGAAAGGCAGGAAGAUGAUGAGGGUGGCGUUAAGAAGGUUACUGAUUUCACUUCCGAUUCUGCUAAAAAGGCCAAAGACAAGAUACAGAACGUCGCUUCAGGUUUUAAUAUGUAUAUUUUUUUAGCCUAAAUUGUAUUAUUAAUUAUUUUAAUUAAUUUGCAAAAUUAUUUAAAAUGCUUUUAAAUAUAACAAAGUAUGGGGAGAUAAUUAACAAAAAUCAGUGUAUUUUCUAAAUCCAUUUUUUCUAAAAUGUAGUCUUUAUUUUUAUGGUAAAAAAAUAAAAUGCCAACAAAAUAUAAUAUAUAAACAAAAAAAAAAAAAAACCCAUUUUAGUCCUUAAAUAAACAAGUAUUGCUCAAUUAUACUAUUUUGUGGAACAUUAGAUUUUCUAUAGAGAUUUUAGUUUUUAAGAAUAUCAAAUUUUAUUAGUUCAACUUUUUAAAAGGAAAUUAUUUGGUUUCGUGAAGUUACACUAAAUAUUUGUUUAUGCUGACGACAGGAGUGGGACAGUACGGCGCUGAAAAGGCCGAAGAAGUGAAAGGCAUGGCGGCGGAGAAGGCUGGUGAGGCCAAAGAUAAGGCAGCGAAACUGGGAACAGUAGCUGAGAAAACGACGGAAGCGGCGGACAAGGCAAAAGAAAAGGCACAAAAUGCGGCAAAAGGAACCAAAGAGAAAGUUACCUCCCUAAAAAACAAAGCAGAAGAAAGCUCGGGUGAGGCGACUGAGAAAACGAAGGAAGCGGCCAAUGAGGCGAGGAAAAAAACAGAAGAAACAGCAGAGGAGGCGAAGGAAAGAGCCUCGACGGGAGCAAGAGAGGCGGAGGAGAGAGCAGGAGAGAUGAAGGAGAAGGCGAAAGUGAAGGGGAAGGAAGCGAAGGAGAGAGCGGAGGAGGAGGCAGGGAGGGCAGAGGAGAUAGCGGAGAAGGGGAAGAGAUGGGCAAAGGAAGGGUUUGAGGCUGCGAAGGAGAAGGCAGAGGAGGUGGUGGAAGCGGCGAAGGAGAAGAUAGGGGAGCAAUACGAGGCGGCGAAGAAGAAGUCGCAGAGGAUUAAAGACGACGUGGUUCGGUCCGAGGUGGAAGACGAGCUUUAAACAACACCCGGGCACGGGGUACGUAGUUUUGUGUGUUCAUAUUAUGUUAAUUCUGAGGACAAUGUGAGAGGCAGCGUCCUUCGUUUGAAUGAAAUGAUAUGUUUUCGAGGGAAGUCGUUUUACGUUGGUUAUGAUGUGAGUGUGUGUUUGUGUAUAUAAUGAAAUCAUAAGAAAGAGUUUGUUGUUCAAAUCGUUUUUGGUACUUCAAUCUUGAUUUUAAUUUUUUUAUAACUCGAUCUUACCUUAAAAUUAAAAUAGCAAUUUUCUUUGUUAGAAGAUAGUGCAACGACUAUUUCUAUCUGAUAUAUGUUAGGUAUAUAUAGGUUUUGAUAAUAUAUAAUAAUCAUUUGUCAUUUUGUAAUCAAUGGUGGUUGGAAUGGGGUGUGUGUAACCAACCCAUGUGGGUUACAAGAUUUUCGUUGAAAACGAGUAACUUUAAUUUAGAGCCUUCCCAGAAAUGUUGAAAAAUGGUAAAUAUUUUGUUAUCCAAAGUGAGUGAGUGAGUGAGUUACAAUGUGGGUAUGGGUGCAACAAGAAGUUGGUAGGAGUGAGUUAGCUUACCCUUUGUCACCAACUACAGCAAAUGGUAUAUACAAAAUAUUCACUGUAGUAUUUUGUUGUUAUAUUUACUAUUUAUUCUAAAUUAUUGUAAUAAUUCUUACUCAAUAUUCUAAACAUUAACUAUUAUUAACUAAUCUAACGUCUUUCUCGUAUAUAGAAUAAAAAAAAAUUGACGUUACAAAGUACAAAGGACCUACUAUAUCUAGUGUACAAUAUGAUUGAGGAAAAACUUAGGUGUACACGGAAAUGAAGAAAAAUCUUGAAAAGAUAUGCAAUUUUCGUGGCUUCUAUUGCACUUGGGUUCAAGGCUGUAUUCAGCAUUGGUAAGUUAUUAAUGUUGGAUUUAUUAAAAUGGUACCUAAAAUAAGUGGGAAUCCAAAAAAUCAAGAAGCAAUUUAAUACAAAGUAGUACUCUUCCACACACACACGUGUUGUGUAUAUUUCCUAUUAAUUCCCAUGAACAACCUAAAACGUGAUCAUGUCUUUUCAUUUUGAAGCUGAUGUUGGACUUCCUCUUUAGCAUAGAGGUAGUAGUUGGAUACUCAUUCCGUUUAUUUCAACUAUUAUUUAUAUGUUAUAUAUAUAUGUAUAUAAACAUGGUGUAAAUUUCCCCUUUCAAUUUAUACGAAGUUGGUAGGUUGGUAGUACUUUUAGCAAUAAUAACAAAAUGUAGAACAUGGUUACUGAGAAACCCAACAAGUUGUGAUAAACCCAACAAAUUGUGAUAAACCCAACAAAUUGUUAUUAUAUUUGCAAUUAAACUGUUAAUUGACUAUGAAAUAACGGUAGAGUGAUUGAAUUGAAUCUUCUUAGAGUGAUUGAAUUGAAUCUUCUUUGUUAAAAAUUUGGUGUAAUAUUGUUGGCUCAUUUUGACAUUUUACAUUUGAAAUUGUUAUUAUAUUUGCAACUAAACUGUUUAUUGAUUAUGAAAUAACGGUUAAUCAAAUCUUUUUUGUUAAAAAUGUGAUGUAAUAUUGUUAGCUUGUUUUGACAAUUUACAUUUGAAAUUGUUAUUAUAUUUGCAAUUAAACAGUUAAUUGACUAUGAAAUAACAGUUGAAUCGAAUCUUUUUCGUUAAAAAUGGGAUGUAAUAUUGUUAGCUCAUUUUGACAAUUUACAUUUGAAAUUGUUAUUAUAUUUGCAAUUAAACAGUUAAUUAACUAUGAAAUAACGGUUGAAUCGAAUCUUUUUCGUUAAAAGUGUGAUGUAAUAUUGUUAGCUCAUUUUGACAAUUUACAUUUGAAAUUGCUAUUAUAUUUGCAACUAAACUGUUAAUUGACUAUCAAAUAACGGUAGAGUGAUUGAAUCGAAUAUUUUCGUUAAAAAUGUAAUGUAAUAUUGUUAGCUCAUUUCGACAUUUUACAUUUGAUUUGAUUCUCAUUCAAAGUCUGUAAACCUAAAAUAGUAAUAAAGUAUAAUGAUUCGUUAGUUGAUUUGUUUACCUUGAAACCAUCAAUUUCAAAAUUCUAAAUUUUGGUAAUUUGUUUAAACAAUCAAUUUGGAUUUCAAAAUUCCAAAAUUUGGUAAGUAACUGAAAUUCUAAAUUUUGGUAAGUAAUUGAAUCUUGAACACUAUUAAGAACUAUGCUAAUUAAUCAAAUUUAAUACAAUAUAAAACACAUGAUUCUUAUUGUUAAACAAUAAUUAAAUACUAAACAACCAUUAAAGAUUUUUAUAGUAUAAAAAUUUAUGGUACGAUCCCUAAUGAAAAUUGAUGCUAUAUAUUGCAAAUUGGUCCCUAGACUCACAUAAACUCUUUACAAAUUAGUACUUUAUAAAAGAAUAUUUCCAAAAAAGAUAAAGAUGAAGAGAAGACUUUUCAAAUUAUAAACUAUGAUUAUUUUAAUUACAAAAGUAGAGAGAAAAUAGAACUCUAUAAUUACACUUUUAUAAACACAAUUUUCAGAUUCUCAACGGACCGAAAGGUGGAAACGGUGUCGUAUUGGGAAGUCAAUAAUAUAGGUAAAAUUCGGAGGCGGAAAAUAGAAAAAACUGAAUAAAAUAAUAAAUGACCCUUGGAAAUAAAAUGGAAAUUAUUAAUAAUAAAACGCCCCUUCAAAUAAAAUUGGAACAAAUAAACAAAACCCCGCCACGGAGCGCGUGGGGCCAAUGGUACGUGGUUGAGAUUGAAUGUGAUGGGAACGCGCGGUUUCUGCGCGUGGGAUGUUGUUUUUCAUUUGUUACUGAAUCGUUCAAAGGCGCGAAGCCAAGUAAAGAAAUUAAGAAAUAAAUAAUUGAAAAAUAAGAGAGAAAGAGAGAGAGAGAAAGAAAGCACAAAUUUGGAGAAGGAAGUGAAAGAAGAGGAAGGAGGAGAAGGAGAAGGAGAAUGAGGGUAGGGAAGUAUGAGUUGGGGAAAACUCUAGGAGAAGGGAAUUUCGGGAAGGUGAAGUUGGCUGCGGAUGUCCGUACCGGCUGUCGUUACGCCGUCAAGAUCCUUGACAAGACCAAGAUUCUCCAUCUCAACUUCUCCGAUCAGGUUUGGUUUUGUCUUGUUUCGUUUCGUUUUGUUUGUCUUUUUGUUGUUGUAGUUAUUCUGCGAAGGGAACUGAUGUAAUGAAUCGGAGUUGGUUUCAGAUUAAGCGUGAAAUAAGUACUCUCAAGCUUCUUAGGCAUCCGAAUGUUGUUAGGCUUUAUGAGGUUUGUUUGCGAUUCUGUUGGAUUUAAUGAAGAAAUUAAACGACUGGUUUUACUUAUUGUGGUUUUUUAUUUUUAUUUUUAUUUAUGGAUGAUAUAGGUUUUAGCUAGUAAGACGAAGAUUUAUAUGGUUAUGGAGUGCGCUUCUGGUGGAGAAUUGUUUGAUAGAAUUGUAAGCGUGUUUUCUGAUGUUGAUUUGAAUUCCUGUUGGAUAUAGUUAUAGAAUUGGUGAGUUUGAGUUGGGGAUAACUGUGUGUGUGUUUUAGGAAUCGAAAGGUAAGAUGGAUGAAGCUGAAGGUCGGAGGAUUUUCCAGCAGCUUAUUGAUGGUCUUAGCUACUGCCAUGACAAAGGAGUUUACCACAGGGAUCUCAAGGUAUUUACAUGCGAUUUAUGUCUCAUUUCGUUGAACAAUCAAUCUGCGUAUCGUUUUUAUUUGAUAUUUCUCUUGCUGGUUGAUCCGUUUAGUUGGAAAACGUGCUUGUUGAUGCUAAGGGAAAUAUUAAGAUUUCUGAUUUUGGUCUCAGUGCUUUACCAAAGAAUUGCCGGGUAAUAUUCUGUAACUAUCUAUUUUCGAGAUCAUCUGUAUCUAAAUUUAGGCUACUUAUUCGUAGUUGAAGAACUAGAAUUGAUGGAUGGUUUAUGAAAUUAGGAAGAUGGUUUGCUGCACACAACCUGUGGAAGUCCUAACUAUGUUGCACCGGAGGUUCUUGCUAAUAGAGGAUAUAAUGGAGCCGCCUCUGAUAUAUGGUCAUGUGGGGUUAUCUUGUAUGUUAUUCUUACGGCUUUUCUACCUUUCGACGAGACCAAUUUGGCUUUACUUUAUAAAAAGGUACCUAAACCUAACUGCAAAAGGGGGAAAAUGAAUAAACUAAUAUUAAACAUAUGUCUUGUAUUGUUUGGAUCCCUAUCUUUCUCUCUCUCUCUCUGUCUCCCCCUUUAGAAAAUAUAUUUAUAUGCAUCAACGUUCGUUGUAGACUUUGAGGGGGGAUUUUCAGAUACCCAAAUGGUUAUCAGCAGGUGCCAGAAAUUUGAUCAGGAGAACUCUCGACCCCAAUCCCAAUACUCGGAUUACCAUAGCAGGAAUCAAAGAGAAUGAGUGGUUCAAGACUGACUAUAAUCCUGCUUCUCCUUGUUAUGAUGACGAUGAGGAGGAGGGUUCACUUACUGAUCAGGAUGAUGCCAUCUCAACGCUUGAUGAGGUAUAUGUAAAGAGAGAAAUUAAAGAGAACCAAAUCCUUGUUUUUCCCUCCUAUCUAUGUUAUUUUGUCUUAAACUGAUGAAAAUUUGGAUUUUACCUGUGGCGUAGCCAUCUGACGCUGAAAACAGCCCGGAAUCUCCUUCUAUUAUCAAUGCUUUUGAGUUAAUUGGAAUGUCUUCAAGUUUGGAUUUAUCCGGAUUCUUUGAGCAAGAGGUGAGAGUUCAAAAGAAAGACUAUUAGACUACGCAAUCUAUGGGCUCGGUUGCUUGUUCAUUUUAAAAUUUCAUUUUAAAAUCUUACUUGAUUACUUAAUAUUUUAAUCUGAAUAACCAUAGGAUGUCUCCGAGAGGAAGAUCAGAUUUACCUCAAAUCGUUCUGCCAAAGACUUGCUUGAGAGAAUCGAGGUUAUCGCAACGGAUAUGGGAUUUCGAGUUCAAAAGAGAAGUGGAAAGGUUGGUACUCAAUUCUUAGCAUCGAAAGAAUCUAGUAGAUGUCAUUAUCGUUAACCCCUCCAUGAUAAUGGAUUAGUUGAAAGCUUGUGGCCAUCGUUGUCCGCAAUUUUAUAUGACAAACGGCCCCUACAAUUUGCGACCUAUUUGCCAUGAGGUUACAAAGUAACAUGCCCCGUUUCAAAGUAACAUGCCCCGUUUCUCUUUCUCACAACAUGAUUACUCUAACAUAUCUUUCCUUUUCUGCGUCUUUAGUUGAAAUUGAUUCAAGAGAUAAGAAGUCAAAAAAGCCUAAGUAAUCUAUCAUUUGUAGCAGAGGUAAAAAAAAAUUUCAUUCGAGUUACUAAUUAAAUUUUCAUGGAACCUAAUGCUAACAGUUACUCCCCAUUACCAAAUCUGGUGAGUUAUGAUUUCAGGUCUUUGAGAUACGCCCACUGCUUCAUGUAGUUGAACUGAAAAAAUCUUUUGGAGACUCAUCAGCUUACAGACAGGUACAAGAUAGGACAGGCUAGUUUCAAUGUCUGUCUAUUUUAAGUGCUUAAAACUACGUCUUUUACUCUAAAAAAAAUACAUUUUCAUCACUUGGAACAUCAUUCCAAUCCUUGCAAAGUACUAAAUUUGGAAAAAAACUUGUGCCAAGUCCUUCUGACAUCUUCCUUUAACUUCUAACAUUCAAUUCCAUUCAAACCUUGCAGUUGUGUGAAAGACUGUCAAGUGAUUUGGGCACAAACCCAGAGCUCGAACGGCAAAAUUCAAGCUCGUUUGCAUUAAACAGUACAUGUUAGAAGAAAUCUAUACCCAAUUAUAGGAUUUUUAUUAGAAUUAUUGUUGUUAUUAUUAUUUUAUAAUUUGGGUUGAUGUCAAGCACGGCCUUUGAUUGGUGCAUAAGUGGGUUUAAAUGUAGAUAAUAGAUAGAGCCAAAUAUUAAAUGGCAAGAAGCCUCCUUUGUGUAUCCCCCUUUGUAUGUAGACACCGAAUAUCAAAUGUAAAAGAACAGAAAGUUCAUUUGUAUUAUAGAAGCUUGAGAAUAUAAUCAUUAGAUCUCUCCCUCCUUUUCUAUAUCUUCUAAACAAAUCUCCGAUACAUUAUUACUUCAUCCUAUUUGGAUUCUUUUCAUUUCAUUUGUAGAUUACAAUUUUUUUUUCUGAUUAAAAUAUUAGACCUCCAAAUGACAAUGUUGCACAGGAAUUGGCUUGCUUCUCAACUUUAUAAACAAUCUAUUCACAAUAAUGAGGCUAGAUAUGUGACUCCAAAUGAACUUAAUUUCCUACCCUUGUUGAGACAAAUGGAGGGUCCACGGCCAAGACUAUGUGGCAAGUCGAUUGCCGAGUUCUUCACUAUAGACUUGUAUCAAACCGGUGUCGUCAUCGUUUUGGAGCUUAUGAUUUAGGAUGACCUUGUAUUGAUCAUCUCUGUUCUCCAAGCUGCGUAUGAAUUCGACCUAAGAACAAAUUGACUUUGUUAAAAGCUAAUUCUCCAUUUUUCAAGUUGCAUUGGUAAUCUUAUACAUGCAAUAUUAAUUCGUUGGGGUAAAGAACAUGCAGGUUUGGGAAAGGCCUUGUGAAGAUGAAAAAUAUAUGAUUGAAUAUUAAAAUUCAAAUAAAAGAUUACGGUUGUGACAUCAAAGGUUGUUGUCAAGAUGAACAAACUCAAUUAACAUAAACUUAUUCUAUUAACUUCAAGGUUAAAGAUUCGAUUUUCAUGUCCCACACAUUGAUAUAAAUCGUCUUGGAGAGAUUAUUUUAAAUGACAAAAUUUCUGAAAUUAUUUACAAAUAUAGUAAAAUAUCACAGUCGAUUUAUGAUAGACCAUAAUAGACACAUAGUAGUUUAUCUUGAUCUAUAGUAGAUAGAUGGUAUAUUUUGUUAUAUUUAAAAAUAGCCCGCACUAAUAUAAAUACAAGUGUAGAUUAAUCACGCCUAGGCUUUGGUUUAACUUUAGUGAUAAUUGGUUUAACACUUACUAUUAUAAAAAAAAAUCAUUUCAUUUUUGUUUCACAACAAAAAAGACAGAUGUUUUUGGGAGUUAUGUGCACAGGGAUCUAAAUAUGCAAUCAUAAUCAUUUCACUAUCUUGAAACAAGGUGAAGAAUUUACCUGUUUUUGAAAAAAGUCGAAUUCAUCAGAGCUAAGAGAACCAUCACUAUUCGAAUCUAGAAGUUGCAUCAUCUCUCGCGCAUCUUCUCCGGGGGCACCAACACCAAGGUCUUCCAUGACAUCCACAAGUUCCUCAAUACUUAUUCUACCGUCUCCAUUCUUGUCAAGAAGCCCAAAUACUCGACCUCUUUGGUUGGUAUGUAUGCCUUUAUAGUUAGAUGAUGGAAAAUCGUUAAGACGUAGAGCAGCAAGUUCAGCUGCAGCCAACAUUUUAGCCUUGAGCCUUUUCGCCUAAAACAUUGACAAAUAUCCACAUCAGUCUUAAACUUAACAAGCUUGUGCAAAUUUUAUAGAACAAGACUAAGUGUAUUAAAACAUUAAAAUAGAUACUAAUUGUUACUGACUUCUUCUGGAUCUGUGAGACCUCCCUUGUAUAGUGAAUGUGAUGCCGUUCCACCAGCUGCCAAUUUGUCCAUCUCAGUAGUUCGUAUUUGAAUUUCCAUUAACGGUUUCGUCUGGCUCUCGUUGCUCACAUCCACAGCCAUGUGUAAGCUCUUGUAACCAUUGGGUUUUGGCCUUGCAAUAUAAUCUUUAGUCCUAUGGGGUAUUUCUUUCCACUGUGACUUUAUAAUUUCACUUGCCCGGUAGCAAGCUCUCUCACCCGAUUCUGAUGUAUCUGUCCCAGCCUUAGGUUUCAAUAUGACGCGUAAUCCUAGAAUAUCGUUAACUUCUUCAAGUUUUCGACCAUCUUUAAGGAGUUUCUUCAUGGUGCUAGAUCGACUUUUAUAGCGACCUUUCACAGAAAAAUCUUCCACCAUGUUUGUUAAUAUAGGAUCAUUCUUCAAGGAUUGUGCCAGCUGAUCCUUGUAUGUUUCAAUCAAAGACUUACUUCCUGACUCGUGGCUUCGCAACCACGAAUCCACAUAAAAGUAAGAGCAAGGAAACAAGUAACGGAAAGAGAGAUCCUCCAACUGAAGUGAUAAGAAAUUAGCUCCAACGGCAAAUGCUAAUGGUGCAUGUAUCUUCAAAACCUCAAGAGAAACCAUCUGCUGCUGGUAUCUUGGCAAUGAUUGGAGGUUUCUCAUCAUAUCAAGCUUCAAAGCCAGGUCUAAAAUCAAUGCCCUAAUAUCAUAAUACGUAAGACAGAACUUUCUUAAAGCAGCCGAACUAUCAUCGUCAAAGAUAUCGACUCUUGAAGGAAUGUGCUUCACUCGUAAGCUCUCAUGCAGUAAAUGAGCAGUACUUAUACCUAUUUGGUUUUUAACUUCUUGAAGAGAUAUCCCCCCAGCCUCCAUAACCUCUCUAAGAAUACCAGUAGAUAUAACUUCUGCAUCCAUCUGAGAUAAUGGUUUGUUCUAAAAUCUAUCAAUAGCUGAAAGUCUCAAAUCUAUCAAGUGCAGACUAAAAUUCACAGAAAAGGCUAUUCAGCAAGUAUAGAGCUUCCAAUUCCAUUAAGAACCAUACCUAUUAUAAAGCAAAAAUAAGCAACAGAAGCAUUAAGUUCCAUCUAUUUGUCUACUAGUUUCAACAUCCCCCAAGAAUCUAACAUCAAGUCUAUUCCAUAACUAAAAAAAUGUAUGGCAAUUGGCAGUUGAAAUUGCAACUGGUGAGCUUUCCUGAUGACAACACCACCUAGUUAGAAAAUAUUGGCAUUUGUCAAGCAAGUUUUUUUUUUUUAAAAAAAUAAGAAACAUAUCAGAAUGAUGUAACGAAUUAAGCACAUUACAAAAGAAAUUUCCAAUUGAAAACUAAACGUGAUUAAAGGGUGCUUUUUUUUUUUUGCACCAAAACAAAGCUGUAGACAGAACCAAGUCCAUAAAACCAUAAAAAAACCGAAACAAGAGUACAUAAAACGCUUGUCAAGCAUUGUUAAAAAUUGGAUUCGGAAUUGGAACUGAAUGGACCAAGUAGUAGGACCAAACUAUUCGGUCACAGUUAAAUUGAACACAUGUAUAGCUUGAGAAGAACAAGGAAACGAAGAAGAAGAAGUAGAACACAAUUGUUAAUUCGACAAAACAGUGGAAAACCCAUCAACAAAUCAAUAAUACACCAUGUGGGAAUUCUUGGACAAACCCCUGAUUUUUAAAAUAGUUUUUAACAAACAUAUAAUUAUACCUUUUAGCAGAAAGCUCUCUAAUCUCCUCUAACCAUAAUCCCCAAAAGUUUCUGAAUUCAACUCUACUAUGCAUUGAAUAAUAAUUAGGUAAGCAAACACUCACAAUCCACCAAUCAAUAACAAUCAAGAAGAAAGAAUCGAAGAGAUAGAAACUUAAUUAGUAACAACAGCAAGAGAACCUGAAGAUCAGCGAGAAUAAGAGCGACAGACAAGGCCUUGGAGAGAGGAGAGCGGCCAUCAGGAAGCAGAGGCAAACUCUGCAAGAUGGGGAUUGAGAGCUUAAGAGUGACAAAGAGGAUCACAGACGAACUAGUGGAAGUGAGAUUCAUCCUAUCAGUGAGCUCAUUGAAGGCUCCAAUGAGUUCCACAACUAAUUUUCCGCCGGCCUGCUCCGGUACGGAUGUGGGAAGAUCCGGGAUGCCAGAAGUGGAGGAAGCUCGCAAAUGCAGAAGGCGGCAACGGGAGAGGGAGCUGAGUGGGCGGCGAGGGUGACGGAGGAGAAGACUGGGAAGGGGAAGGUGAUGGGUGUCGGUGAGAGAACGGAGGGAGUGGAAAUGGAGGUCUGGAGAAGGAUUAAUGGCAGUGAAAAGCUCCAUUGCUAUGGAUUCUUGAAGCUUAAUAUGGAAGGAGCAGAGCCAUUGUUAAGUUCAAAAGGAGCUUUCAAUGAAGGUGAAGAGGAAGAAGAAGAAGAAGACGCUGCCACUGCCACUGCCACACGAAUUCUUUUGGAAAAUUGAUCAAAAGUCAAAAUUAAACAAAAUCCAUAAACUUGUAAGAAAUGUUGGAGAAAUUAACAAAAUUUGCAAAUUAGCCCCUCUAAGUUUUAGAUAAAAUACCCUUUAAAUUUUUUUAGAUCCUAUGAUAAUUACGCAUUAUAAAAAUACAAUUUUUUUAAAUCUUAUAUUACACAUUUGAUUAACGAAUUAAGUAAGUAUAUCAAAAUAAAUUAAAAUAUUGAUAAAUAUUAAAAAAAAUUAAAAAAAAAUAACUAUGAUUAGGGUUAAUAAUUUUCGUUAAAGUUAAGUAGAGACUAUUUAAGAAGUAUUUAGUUAUUGAGAGAGAUUUAUUUGUGAAAAUAUGAAAUCUGGUGGAUCACAUUUCUUUAGGACCAAAUAGAUAGAUAUCAAUGACCAAAAUUUCAUUUUACCCUUAUGGUUCUCCGUAGGGUUUAGAAAUGGUUUAAACGCCAAUUGGCGAUCACAUUUCUUUAGGACCGAAUCGCUCUCAAUCCUACACCCCUUGUCUGGAAGCGCCAAUGAUUGAUCUUUGAAACCUCAUAUCCCCUACUGAUAUCUUCUAAAUUCAAUCGCCAACCCUUAUAAUUUUUUUUGAAAUUCCUACAAAAUUAAGAGAGUCGGUUACGGAUUUCACCAUGAAAGCUUCCGCCUCGCCUCAUUCAAAAGCUCCAUUCAAGUUCAGGAUGUGAGUUCUUUCUCUCUUUCAACUCCAUCUAUCAAUUCUUCUUCUUUUCAUUUAUUUCUCUUUCUUUAUGUUUUCAAUCUCUAUCGAAGUCCGACGGCGGAGAAUCUAGUCCCAAUUCGUUUGGACAUUGAAAUUGACGGUCAGAGGUUCAAAGAUGCUUUCACUUGGAACCCUUCUGGUAAUUCAUUACCUUGCUCCUACUUCUUAUGUUUUUUUUCUUUUUUUCUUUUAAAGCAAUGUUGAAUCAUGUGUAGGAGAAUAGCUUAUGCUUUUGUUUUUUGAGUUUAGGGUUUUCUUUUUUCUCCCCAAACAUAUGCUUUUUGACAUGGAAAAACUGAAUUAAUCACUUGCCCUUGCCCGCUGUGUUGCUGAUACUAUAGUGAAAGACUUUGCGAAUUGAAUUAAUCCUCCAUUGUGCUUCUUCGUUUUGGUAUAGUAUUUAGGCCUCAAAUCGGUGUUUUUGAAAGUGCUUAAAUGGCACACUAAAAGAACUUAUAAGCGUGAGGCCUAAGUUUGUUCUCUAGUGAAAUUAAAGUUAGAUUAGAUUACAUGUUUGGUCUAUGAACUUUUAGGUUUGUCUUUUGUGUGUAAUAGAAACUUAACCAUAAACUUAAAUAAGUACUUGACAAAUUUUUUACCUUUCAAUUUUUUUUUUGAAAUAUAGGUCUAUGAUGUAUGUGAGAUUUUUUUAAAGAACUUUUUUUUUUAUAAUUCACGGAUCUACUAAACGAAAAAUUGAACUUUGUGUCUUACGAGCCAUUAGAUGUUCAAUUUCGUAUACGUUAUGUGAAUUUUGAAUAAUGUAAUAAAAGUCAUAGGACCUAUUAGAUAUGAACUUAGAAGCUCAAGGGCUUGUUAGACAAAAAAUUGAAAGUUUUGAAACCUAUUAGAUACUUUUGAAAGUUUAGAGAUUAGAAGUGUAACUUUAAACUCGUACAUACAAAAAGUAGUAUUAUGAAUGAUAAGAUAUUGAAAAAUUUAAGAAAUUAGAGUUCUUUUUUGGGUAAGAGAUACGAGUUGUGGAGAAAAAUAAAUAUUUUCUUAAAGAAUAUCUGUUAGUUUCUUCUUCUUUGAAGGAUUUAAAAAGAAAUUAAAAACAACGAUCUUCAUGCACUGAGGGGCCUGGGCGUACUUCAUUAAUAUUUAAUGGUGUCUCGCUUGAAGCGCCUAGGAUUUUUAAGCCACUGCUCGAAAUAAUAUUUCUGUAGGUAUAAGAAUUAACCACAUCCGCCAUUAUUUUCAUAGCCGGCCCACCAAUCUUCAAAGUGGUUUCGUCCAAAGACAACAUGAGUUCUUAAGGUCACGUUUUAUAACAUUGUUUUUUAUUUUUGAAAAUUGUACUUGUUUCUCACAACUUCUAUACAUAGUCAUCAUCUUUCUUAAGAAAAUAUUUGAAGUCUUAACCAGAUUCCAAAAACAAAAACAAGUUUUUAAAAAACUAUCUUUCUUAAAUUUGGAAGUAUAACAAAACAAAGAAACUCAUAGGUGAAAGUAGUGUUUAUUUAUUUAAUUUUAAAGAACGAAAUACCAAAUGGUUAUCAAACAAGGCCCAAUUUUUUUACCAUGAGAGCUUGAGUCUAGGAGUAUAGAGGUUAUCUUACUACAUUCCAAAACCAUAGGCACCUUUGUGGCUUAGAUUGAAAAUGCCUGUUUUGCACUUUUGAUAAUAUAUUCAAUAUCAUCAUCAUAAUUUAUGUUUAUUCUAGAUCCCGAUUCAGAGGUGGUGGUCUUUGCAAAGAGGACGGUGAAAGAUUUAAAACUUCCUCCGGCAUUUAUAACACAAAUUGCACAAUCCAUUCAAGUAAGGACAAUAGUCAUCCGAACCUCCAUCUCUCAUUCUUCAUGGAUUUGAAUGGUCAGCAUCAGCCUAAACCAUGUUUCCUUUACAUAUUAAAAACAAAACAAUGAAGUUUUGGAGAAGUGUUGAACAAAACACUGAAAUCUUUGUUCUUUUUAUUAAUAUUUCUGAAUUAAAAAAUAACAGCUUAAACUUUAGCUUUAUACUAAGGAUAGUCAUAAGGGCAUUAGGUGACGUAUUACCUUUACAGCUGGUUGCCCAAAACUUGAAAUUUCUACAUUUCAGCUGCAAUUUGAAGAAUUAAAGCACAGUCAGCUAACUAAUAUUAACCAGUACAGAUGCUAAAUAAAUACAUCAAAUUCCCUCCUCCUAAUAAAAACUCGUCCUCGAGUUUUACGCUGAAAUUUGCGGCUGGUUGGGUGGAAAAGAUUCAAAGAUAUCGGCUGUGUUGAAGAUAGGAUUGAUAUGUAUGUGAUCUGGUAAAUCAAUCUUGUAUGCAUUGUUCCCGAGUUUCUUUAUUAUUCAAUAAGGUUUUAUCUUUUUUGGCUGUAAUUUACUGUAUUUUCCAGCUGGAAGUCUUGCCUUUCGAAGGUAUAUCAUGACUAGAUCUUCUUCUUUAAAUUCUUUGAAUCUUCUACGUUUGUCGGCUUGUUAUAGCCUUCUUUCAUCUACUCUAGUUGAUAUACUACAUUUUUGUGCAAUUUUGCUAUCCUUUCCACCAUGUUCUCGGCUUCAAUGCUAAGAUCAACAUUAGAAGUAAUAUUAGCAAGGUCAUCAGUUAAUCUAGGUAAUUUAUUGUAAACAAUCUCAAAUGGUGACUUCCCCGUUGAUCUAUUCUUCAUAUGAUUGUAGGCGAACUUGGCUUGUGCUAAGACGAGGUCGGUUUAGUUUUGUUUCCCCCGAUUCAUCUUAUGAGGUUGGCUAGGGUUCUAUUGGUGACUUCGGUUGAAGUCCUCGGGGAAAGAGUCUCUGGUUCCAAGGGUUGCUCGUCGACACCCUUUCCUUUAUUGGCAUUGGUUGGGUUCCUUCCCACCAUGAGUCCCUUCUUCAAGAGCUCUGAUACCGAGUUGAUGAAGUCUUGGAGAAGUGUUGGAACAAAACACUGAAAUCUUUAAUCUCUUAUUAAUAUUUCUGAAUUAAAAAAUAACAGCCUAAACCCUUACAACCGGUUGGCCAAAGCUUUUAUACUAAGGAUAGUCAUAAAGGCAGUAGGUGACUAAUCACCUUUACAACCGGUUGGCCAAAACUAGAAAUUACUAAUUCCAGCAGCAACUUAAAGACUUAAAGCACAGUCAGCUAACCAAUAUUAACCAAUACAGAUGCUAACUAAAUACAUUACAAAACCUUCAAACUUAAAUCAAUACCUUUAAUCAAAUCUUGAUCUGCCAUCAAAUUCACUCAUAUAUUUUCUUUGGUUUUUGCUUAUCAGUCACAGCUUACAGAAUUUCGAUCCUUUGAAGGUCAAGAUAUGUAUACUGGUGAAAAAAUCAUUCCAAUCAAGGUUUGUCUUGUUGGCGUUUUGGUAUCGAUCUCUUGAUUACUUCCUCCCUUUAUCAUUAUUCUACAGCUUGAUGCCACAUAACUCAAUUCUGUUUCUUUCCCAGCUUGAUCUUCGAGUGAACAAUACACUCAUAAAGGAUCAGUUUCUGUGGGUAAAGUCGAACGUACUCUUGAUACAUUUGACUGGAACAUAUAUAUUUAUUAAGCUUACUUGUGCAUUAUGAUAUGCCUUUUAGGACUUGAACAACUAUGAGAGCGAUCCUGAAGAGUUCUCCAGGACAUUAUGCAAAGAUUUGGGCAUUGACGACCCUGAAGUUGGAGUAAGUGAAGUACAAUUGAAUUUGUAAAUGUACAAAAUAAUAGAACCUUUUGUUCCAAGUAAUUUGGUUUCUUCAGUCAUGAAAAGGCAUGUACUUUAAAGGGAUGGAUUGUCAAUGAGCUAUUUCCAUCUAGUGCCCUCCUGUAUGUGUUUUUCUCCAACUGUUUGAUACAAUGAGAAUUUCAUUUAUUUUUGUGAGGUAGCCUGCAAUUGCUGUUGCCAUUAGAGAACAGCUCUAUGAGGUUUGUUUUUUCUUUUCCAAAUGACUAUAUAUAUAUUCUCUAGUUCUGUUAGAAAUCUGAAUGAUUUAUUUCAUGACUGCAUCUUCAUGUGUCCAUGUUCCAGAUAGCAGUGCAAAAUGUUGCUUCAGCAAGAGAAAGCAGAAUGAGCAAGAAGGGUCGCCGAGGGUUUGAGCAUGUUCCAGUAAGGUAUCAAUUUAGAUAUUCUAAACUGUGCAUUGUUUCUUGUUUUCUUUGUAAUCAGCUGCGUUGCAGCAAGACUAAAUGUUUACCCUUUGAUCGUGCCUUUCUCUGUUUGCAACAGUAAAACUGGAGGUGCUUCAGUGGACUUGGUGAAGUUAUUUGGUCAUAGAUCAAGUGUUGUUCGGUUAGUCUAUUCCCUAUUUAUCUAUUUAUUAUUAUUAUUAUUAUUUUGGAAUGAUUAGUCUAUCCCUCGUUGCUUAUGGAUUUUCCUUUUAUUUUCUCUCUCUUAUCUAACCUAAGAAGUAUAUGGUAUAUAAUUCGUACAUGAUUAUUUAAUACUGCCAGUUAUGUUUGUUUCCUGGUAUCGUGUGUCUUUAUCUUCAAGAGAGAGAAACCCAUGGUUUUUCAACUUCAACCUAGAAGUUUAGGGUGUUUUUGGUUCUUGGGAAUCAUAAGGUGCUCAUGUGAAUGACAACUUAUCUCAAUUUUGAAAAAGAUUCCCACAUUUAUGAGAUAUCUAGACAUGCUGAGAUGUCUCUUUCAUAUGCAGGUAUCUUAUUUCCAUAACACUUAGUGCGGUUAUGGGUAUCUAUAUUUUGGGCAAAAAGAAAAAGUUAUAAUUUGUUCCUUGUGCCCUGCUUUCAUUUUUUCAUAAGAUUAGAGCAUACUUUUUUAAUUUUAAUUUUUUUAGGUAGUAGUUUAUAUUUAUUAUCAAUGUUCUUUCUGUUACUGGUGAAUCUAGACUAUUUUAUUUUCCAGAAUCGGAUAAUUCACACCCCUAUCUUAAUGCCAUUUACACUUAUUAUCUAUUCUCAAGUUUUAUUUUAGAAGUUGGUUAAAAAGUACAUUAGCCAAUGGCUUGUAAAGUUAUAAAAAUUUGAUGCUAAUGACAGUAUACACUUAAAUGCAAAACAGGAAAAGGAAGGACUGGGACAUUUACGAACCAAUUGUUGAUCUUCUAUCCAACGAGGAAGUAGAUGCCCUUGAAGCAAAAGAAGAGAGGACAGCUCGAUAAUAUACUCUUGGUUGAUGUUGAUCUUAUCGCUUCUAUCGUCAAACAAGGUUGGCUUUCUUAGUGGAGGUAAAUUAUUCAACAUGGAGUGGAACUGUUCUUGACGGUUUAACACAUCAAUUAACAUUUACUUAAUGCCCCCCAAGUUAAAGGCUUUUAGAGCGAUUCUUCAUAGAGUAUAUAACCUAUGGAGCAGAUUCUACUCAAGUAAGGUCGAAGCAGGGAUAUCAAUUCUGAUACUAAAGUGUUCAUAGGGUAGAUAUUUUGACUAUGUAGAGUGGUAACUUCUGAUAUGAGUUCUUCCCAUUCUUAUUUGUUGCUUUUGGUAACAUACUCUCGGAACCAUACAAAUGAAGUAAAGAUAUUCAUAUAUGCCAAAAGUUGUUUGUUUCUAUCAUUUGGACCAUUUCCAUGAUGGUCCAUUUUUCUCUUUUAAAGUUGGAAAAUGAUAUGUGGAAAACUUUGAUGAUAACAUCACAAAGGAGGUCAGGGUGCAUUCUAGAGUUAAUUUUAUUUUUUUUAUGUAUAAUAAAAAUGAAACAUUAUUAUUGUUGUUAUUAUUUUCAUUAAUUUUGUAUUUUGGUGCACUUUUAAUGACUUGAAAACUUUAAAAUUUUAGACAGAUUCACCUCAAGUGAGAACAAGUUUGUACUUAUUGACAAUAUAGAGUAUGUGACACAAGUUAAAUAUAAUCGACAACGAAAACGAAGAUGUUAUUCAAAGACAUAUCGUUUGUAUAUCCCAAAUCAAUUGAAAUUGACUAAUGAAAACACUUUAUUCUAAUAAAUAUAAUCAAACAAAAAUUACCACGUGAUAUACUUCAACAAUCGAACUUGUUGGGGCCGUUUGUUACACCCCACCAAUUUUGGAAGUUGCUACGGACAAUUCAAUUUUAAUAAUAAAUAUGAGUGAGGUUUGUAUAAUUCAAUUUUAAUUUAUUUUUUACAUUUAUCAACAAAUCUUAUCUUAUAACUUUACAUUCAAUGUAGUCAAAUCAAACUUCAGGUCCGAUCUCCAUUUGCAUCGUCGUACUAAAAAAAUACCUUUACUUAGUGGGCCAAACAACCUCUUAAUUUUUAUCCGUAACAACUUUCAUAUCGAAAUGGCUUGUUGAUCUUUUUCAAAAUUCCUAAAAGUUUAGACAAUAAGUUGAUAGAACUCACUUCACGGAACCAAUAAUGUGCAUAUAUAGUUUGAAGUCAAUUAUUUGAUUGAUUGAAGGAUAAUAUUAGUGAAAAAUAGGAAUGUAUAUAUAUAUAUAUAAUAAGAAGAUAAAGGUGUGAAAAAAAAAGUUCUUCACGAGAAGCCCUUCCAAAUCCCUAACUUUCUUCCUCACAAAUCUUUGAAAAUGAUAGAAAAAGACAUUCUGUACGGAGUGGAAGAGACUAUUUAUACAAAAGUGGUAGCACUUCAAUUUAGUGGCUCAAAUUUUGUUGUUGAAUAGAUAUUUUUGUAAAACCAAACAAAAUCUAUUUUUAAUCACAUGCUUUAUUUUUUUAAUUUUUUUUUUCAAUUUUACAAAAUAUCUCUCAAGCUACGAUAAGUCGACCCGAUGGUUUGUCCUCUAAAAUUAGGAGAUAUCAUUUGUUGCUAAGAGAUUAAAGAUUUCGAUUAUCAUAUCUUUCAAACAAUUUUUUCUUAGAUUUUUCAAGUUAAUUUAUUGGAAUGAUAACGUGUCUAGUUUUUAUACAAAUUUAAUUUUCAUCUUAUUCUAAAUAAAAGAAAAAAGAAGUUUUUGGGUUAGGGGCAUAAAGGUAAUUUACUUCAAUAUUUUUGAAAAUAAUUUAACUUAAGAUGUUUUUAACGCGUAAAAGUGUGAUGAUGAAUUUAUUGAGACUUUUAUUUUAACAAAGGAUUGUAGACUAUCUAUGGAGUCUCUACAAUUAGUUUAGUUAAUAAGAAUUGAGAAGUAAAUUGUAGAAAAAAGAAGGUAAAGUUUAAAAAGAGGUUAAAGAGAUUGUCACCAUUAAUUGUAUCAAUCAAAGUCUUCAUCAUAAUAAGUGAUUUUGAGUACAUCGGAUUCUACUAUUAUAAUAAAGCAAAUGAUUAACAAUACUGCAUGUCAUGUCAAGAUUGAUAUCCUUAACUAACUAAAAACAAAAAUAAAAAGAUGAAUGACUAAAAGUUAAUAUUAUUUGUAAUUUACAAAAGAGAAAAUUGAAAAAUUGAAGACUCUCUAUCUCUUUCUCUUUCUCUCUUGAAUUCUUUCUGAAAAUGAAGACAUUGGGAAGUGGUUUACAUAAAUUAUAACUAAAAUCUGACCAACCAAUCAGAUCUGAUGAACCACUUUCCUCAAGAGAUAAGGUUCCAUUUCCUAGAAAAUAAGAGAGAGAGAGAGAGAGAGAGAGAGAAGAAGAGUUUUUUUAAACCUUAAAUCUCACCAUGAUUAAGAGCUUCAAAUCAUGGGGAUUCAUUUGAUAAUAUAUUCAUUCCCUACACAUAAUUAAAUAAACAAAAUCAUCAUCAUCAUCAACUGAUCACAAAAUACCAUAGAGAUCGAUCAUCAUGUAUUGAGCAGCAGCAGCAAGCUUUAUCUACAACAAAUUUAAUUAAGCAGUAGUCAUAGUCUGAGACAUUGGUCGUGGUGGUGGUGGUUGUUAAGAAGAGACAUUGCAAGUAGCGGUAGCGGUGGUGGCAGCGGAGUUGGCCUUGUGAUCUAAAAUAGACCACAUCACAUGCACGUCUUCAUACCCACAUGCCAUAACCUCUCCUUGGAGAUUCCUCACAUCCACUCUCUUCUCUUGCUCUAAAAAACAAACAAAAAGAAGAAGCUAUGUAUGUUCAGACGCUGGAUAUAUAUACACACACACACACACACACACAUAUAUAUUAUAUACUAAAGAAACAGAGAAUUAAACAAUUGUAAAAAUGUAAGAGAUGAUGAUUUAAAAAAGAAAAGUAAGGUCUCGUGUGUUGUUUUGAAGAAGAAGAAGAAGAAGAAGAAGAAAGAAGUGGAUGCAUGGGGGGUCGUAAAAUUACCUGAGUCGGAAUGAGACUUUUUAGGAUGAUCUCGAGGGUUUUGGUUGAAGAUGGUGCAAGCUUUUCUGAAGGGAGAAAUGAUUGUUUUCUUCCAAGAAGCCAUUAGAGUUGUUGUAGUUGUAGCAGUAACAAAUAAUAGUAAUGAUAAUAAUUUGGUGAGGUUUGAGAAUGUGUUUGGCUGAAAGGGGUUGGAAGUGAAAUGGGUCACAAUAUAUAGAACACAAAGAAUUAUUAAUAAACAAUAGAUAAGAAAAAGAGAGAGAAAGAGAAGAAGAUGAGUAGGCAAGAUCCGAAGGAUGAGCAACACAAACUUUUUAUUUCUUAUCUUCAAAUCAUUAUUAUUAUUAUCAUCAUCGUUGUGUAUGAAUCAAUUUACGUCCGUCUCCACAAAUACUUCGAUAAAACAACGCAUUCUUUCAUAUUAAUUAAAUAAUUUAAACCUUUUCACCUUCCAAUAAUUCGUAUAUUUUUUCAUCAUCAUAUUCUUACAAAAGUUAUAGAACAUAUGUUAAUAUACAUGGUGAAAAUUGACAGAAGAAACCCUUUUUGUUCGUGGGGAAGCUAUAGAUUUUUGCUUUAAAAUUUGUGAGUUUCUUUUUUACAAAAUUACUUUAUAAUUAAUCUAUGCAUUAACUUUAAUAUAUAAUUUUAGGAAUGAGUAAGGUUAGAGUUCCAUAAUCAGAAGACGAAUUGAAUCCAUCCACCCUACCAAAUUUAUGAACAAACUAAUGUUCUAUAAUUAUAUAACAAAUUUAGUCGUUCAAUUUUUAAACAAUACAAAAUCGAGAACUCAAAAGCUAUUUAAAUCCUAAUAUAAUUUAUUAAAAAUUCAAAUUUAUUAGUAAACCACAAGAACUAAAUUUAAUAAAAAGUUUCAUAAAUAGAAGAAACGUUAUUGAUUGAUAUUCUAUCACUAUUAAUGAUCGUUUUCAAUCUCUGAACGUAUCAUAACUUGUUUUAGUUUUUUUUUAUAAAAAAUAUCAUGGAUAGAUGUUACUAUUGACUUUAUAUAUAUAUAUAUAAUGUAUAAAAUGAUGGUGUAAUUUUAUAGAAUUUAAUAAGAUCGUAAAUAAUAUAUAAAAAUGAAAAGAAGAAAAAGAGAGAGAGAGAGGUGGUGUAAUAAGUGAGAAGGGAAAGCACAUGGCGCACGCUCCCUCACCGUCCUCUCCGACCUUACACGUGAAACCAUUCCUUCACUUCUCUCUUUCAAUCAAAAUUUAAAUACCCACUCUUUUUCUUUUCUUUUUCCUUUCUUUAUUCAUUUUUUUUCCCUUUCCUUUUUUUUUUCUUUACUUCAAAUAUUCUUUUCUAUUCAAAUUAUUCUUUUUUCAUCAAUUUUUUUGAUUAAAUUAGUUUAAUUUCAUUUUCUAGUCAUUUUCGUAUUAUUAUUUUUUCAAUUUUCAACCUUUUCAUUUUAUCAAUACAACACGUUGUUGUGUAGUAUGUUACUUAUUAGAUCAAUUUACAUGUAGGAUAUAUUAUAUUAUGUAUAUUUUCUAAAUAAAAAUUAACGAUUUUGAAAAAAUGAAAUUAAUUUCGAGAAUUAAUUGUUAUGAACACAAAAUUACUAUUUUUUUUAAAACUAUGUAGUAUUAAAUUUUUUUAAAAUUAUGUAAUUGAUUUAUAAUUUGUAACGUAAUUAAAAAUAUGCAUCAAAUAAUAGACACCUACAUUUAUAAUAUAACUUUUGAAAGAAAAAAAAAAACUAUUUAAAAUCACAUUAAGAUUUUAGUGUAUGCAAUGAUGACAUAUAGAUAGAUUAGUCAACAUUUGUUAAUAGGGCAUGUUAACAUCAUCAUUUGGUUAGCUUUUUAUUAAGACUAUAUAUAUAUAUAUAUACUAUUAAUAUAGUUUUAAAAAUUAAGAGUAGAAGAACAUGGUGAUUUCUAUAUAAAACUAUAUCUCUUAUUAAAUGAUUUGUUAAAGGUUUUGGCACUUAAUUAGUUUUUUUUAGAUGUACUCUUGGAUAUCAAAGGGCUAAUUAAUGGCAAUUAUAUUAAUUAAUUGAAAUGUGAAAGAUGAAAGUUUCAAUAGUUUAAUUUCUUUGAAUUUUAAUUUCAUCCAUGUGAUUUUUUAUGGUAGAAGUCAAUAAUUCAUUAAUUUACACAACUAUACAUUAUAUAUAUAUAUAUAUAGGCAACAUUAUAUUUUUAUUUUGGAAAAAAAUAUUUAUUAAAAUAAUAGUCAAUGAUUGGUUAAUCAUUAUCUAUAAUUAAACAAUUAAUGUGUUACUGUAUUUAAUCUCCAAAUGUACAAAUUGUUGGUAAGUAUAAUACAAUAUUAAGACAUCUAUACCUUCAGCCAAAAAAAAAAAAAAAAGAACAACGAUAUCUAAUGUAUUAUUAUAAUUAUUAAAAAAAUAUUUUUUUAUUUUAUUUUUAAAAAAUUAAACUUAUAAAUAUUAUUUCACUUUCAUUAUUUUGUUAUGAUGUUGUAAAAAUCUAAUUAACUAUUGUUUCUAAAAACUUAUUUUUUUUUCUAGUACAUAGAUAAAGUUUAAAAAUAGUAAAUAAAAUAGAGAAAACCAAUAAUAGAAAUAGAAAAUAGAAAACUAGAAAGAAAUUAUCCAAGUUGGUUGAACUACUUCCUUAUAUAACUUUUGGAUUGUGUACAUUUUCUCGAGAUGAAUAUUUUAGGGCAUGUUUGGGAUGAUUCUCAAAUGGAUGAAACACUGUGAAUUAUGUUUUCAAUAAUCCAAAUCCGAUUUUGAUAAUAUAAUAAUGUUUAAAAGUGUGAAAUUAAAUUAAAUUAAUAAUUUUAAUUAAGUGCGUGGUUCUGAAUAUGAAAAAAGUGAUCAUUUAACAAUUUCAAAAUCACUUCCAAACAUACACGUAAUCUAUAAUAUAAUCUUUAAGGUCGGAGCAUGCAUGUAUAUAAGUUACUAAUAUUAAUAACUAAUGAUGUUGUAACUUUUACGCACAAGUCUACAAGUAAUUAGGGUUUAUUUUCGGGGAUUUUGUAUUCUAAUGAAAAUUUGUUUGUUGUUGUGAUUUAUUAUAUAUUGUCUUCUCAAAUAAUUAUACUAUAUGUACAAAAUGUACCUUAUAUGUUUGUGACAUAAUUAGGUUAGGGAAGGGGUAGGGGUCCUUUGGGAUAUAGUCCUUCAAGAAAGUGGUAGCCUCUAGCUAAGUGCAAGAACCUAAAAAAGACUUGAAUUCAUUUCAUGUCACUUAAAUUUAUUGUCCUUUUUGCUACAUAGCAUGUCUCUUCAUCUCGUUACUACUAUAUAUACAUACUCCUUCCAUGUUAUCAAGAAACAAAGUUUUGAAAUUGCCUUUUGCGUGUCUUCUAGUGCUUUCUUUUUCGCUCAGAAAUCGUAGGUAACGUAAGAUACGUUUCUAAUUUGAGUAUAAGAAUUUAAAAUCUGGUUAAGAGUUUUGAAAUUUUGCGUUUUAGAAUAGAAUAAGCGUUUUGAAAUAAGACUUUGCGUUAAGAAGUUGACGUUUGAAUAAAUCUACGAAAAUGAUUAAGAAAUAAAACUUUUUUGGUUAAGGAUAAGUUUUACGAUUAAGAACCACUCACAAGGAAGUUUUGAGAAAAAAGUGAUAUUGUGUUAAGACCUUUGAAAGCUAUGUUGAGUGAUUGAAGUUAUUCGUGGAAUGAAAUUAGGCGAGAAGAAAGGUUUCGCGAGGAAAAUGUCAAGGGUUAACGUGUAAGCUUAAAGAGUUAAGCAUGUCUGAGUUAAUAUUAAAUUUACAUGUGUGGAGUUUUAAGCAGGAGUUGACAAACUGAGAAGAGUUAAAGUACGACUAAGCUGGUUUAAGGGCUCUAUAAAUAGAGGACUUGGUCAGUAAUAAGCAAAAAUGAUUUUAUUAUAAAAAAAAGAAGCUAAAAUGUUGUAGUUUUGCUUUGGCGAGAAGAAGAAAAACAAAGUGUUAAGUGCUGCAGUUUGUUUUACGAGAAGGCUCUGCGAAAAGAGAAGGAAGAAGAGGAUUUUUGGUAAAGUGUGGUGAGUGUUUUCUCUUAAAUGAAUUUACAUUAAAGCUUGAUUUGAUGAUUAUGAUUUCAAUACUAUAAAAUUAUUUUCAAACAAUUAGUUGUUUUCUUGAGAUGAUGCUAACUUUUAUGUGCACAUAAAGAGUCAAUGCUACCAUGGGGUGUACGGGGCUACAUGGUGAUAAGAAGUUGCCUUAUGCGUUGAAAGACGUGUAUAAUGCUUAGUGACCUGAGCAGCAAGGAUAAAUCUCCAUGUUCUUGGAUGUUGUUGAAACAGUAGUUUAAACUUGAAGUAAUGAGACCAAGUGUAGAGAACGAUUCGAAAUCCUUGACAAAAAAGUUAGUUGACUAACAGGUGUUUAUGCGAAAUGAAUAUUGAUGUGAUUCGCGAGUUGAUCUAAUUCUAUUGUAAAAGUGAUUGCACACGUUUUGAUAUGUUUUGUGAAAUGACGAAGUAUUUAUUAAUAAACUAAUUUGUGUUGGAAUUUAUAAUUUGGCAAAAAGAAAUUACUAAAGGGCAUUGCGAAAAGGAUUUCGUAAAACCUCACUAAGUCUUUUAGGCUUAUGUUUUAAAAGUCUCAUAUUCCAAGAACAUGCAUUUAGGCAAUGUAGAGAAGAAGGUUGAAGGGCUUGCGACGAGUUGAGGAAGUCACAAGACGUUUAAGAGUUGUUAAUUAUGUUUGGUCAAAGUGUUGUAAUUGUAUAUUCUUACCGAACGCCUAUUAUUAAUAAAAUGUACGUUUUGAUUAAGUUAUUUAUCACAUUUGGCGUUUAAGGUUAACUGCCGUUGUGUUCUGAGUUUCAUUUGAUAGUAUAAAAGAAGUUGAAAAUAAGCUUAGCGAUAAGAUCAAUUGCAAUUUUAAAGCAAAAUCACGUCCUAUUUGCACUACUUCUUGCAUUUCAGUCACUGUCUUGCAAAUUAGGGUGUGACAAGUAAAGAUUUAGAUCGAUCAACCAUUGUGAUAAAUAUAUUCACGACUAUAUUUUUUAUUUAUUUAGUCAAUCGCUCAAUCGCCUCAUCAAACAAAUGAAAGUAUUCACACAAUAUGAAAGUACUCAAACAUAUAUAGCUAAGUCAAAGACAUACAUUAAACUGUGAUAUGUCACUUAUUAGGGACAAUACGUACCGUACCAUCCACCUUCUCGUAAAUGAUACACAGUUAGUUUUCUUAUAAAAAAAAGACUAUUGAUAUAUAUAUAUAUAUAUAUAUAUAUAUAUAUAUAUAUAUAUAUAUAUUGUCUAGCUAGCUCAAAACCAAUCAUUCUAUAUAAACUAGAGUAUAUAGUUGGAUAACCCUAAAGUUUUUUUAAUUCCUUUGCUGCUAUGAACUUUUAUAUAAUUGAACUAUAUAUCUUAGGUUUAUGUACUUUUUUCUGCAUCCUUUGGACAAAUGGUGAAGUCUAUUUCUACUUUUUAAACUAAAGACAAACAACCAAACAAGUUUGAAAUCACUUUCUCCCUCAUUUGUGUGUUAAAGUCUCUCAUUUUGAGCCAAAAAGCAUAUACACACAUUCUUUUUCAUUGCUGAAAAAGCUGCCUUUUGCUUAAUUAUAUAUAUACUUUUAAGUCUUCAUAAAUCAAAUGCCAUCCAUCUUAAAUUAGUAUUAAAACAUACUUAAUCGCGUCAUAAUACAUAACUUCAACCUUACUUUAUUAAACGAACAUUAUUAUUUAAGAUCAGGUUGACUCGCUUCAUUGCCAAAGAGAUAGGAGACAUUUUAUUCCUCAAGAAAACCAUAAACAAAACAAUUGAAUCUCAUCUCGACAACUCUAAAACAUACAUAUACACUAUUUAAGCAAACACGAAGCAUAUUAAUCGUAUAAAUACCGUUUUUAUAACCCAUAUUUUAAAAUAUAACGAGUUAAAAACUUAAACAAUGUGUAACUGUUACUUUGAUCUGACAAUCCAUAUAAAACUAAUCACGUUAUUAUACACUUAAUCAUAUUAAAUAAUUUCUCCCAAGAAUGGAAACAUAAUCCAAACACACACACAUUUCAAAUAAACAAGACAGUCGUACAUAGUUUAAUAUUUAAACUAUAUGGGGAAAAGUGUGAGAUGUUGAUAAGAUUAUUAUUAUAAUUAUUAUAAGUAUGAAGUAAUUAUAAUAUAUAGUUUAGGGUUAAAUUCAAUGUGUGUAUGUUUGUGAAGUGAAAAGGGUUUAAAUAAAUUAAAAGGUCAAGUGGUGGAGAAGUGGGAACACAAAGAUUAAGAAUCUGACAAAAGCAUUUCACAAAGUUUUGAAAGUUUGAAGAUUGAAGUUUUGAACCACUCUUUUUCUUUUUCUUUUCUACCCCACCACAUGUAUAUAUAUAUAUAUGUGUGUGUAUAUAUAUAUAUAUAUAUAUGAUAUAUGAAUGUGGAAAUGAAUAAAAUUAAAUGACUGCCUGCCUGCCAUAUGCAUAUUGCAUAAUAAUGCAUCUGCUCUUUCACAUUCAUGCACUCAAUCCUUUGUCCCCCACAACCUUUUGCCUUUGUCUUUAUAACUACACAUCUUCAACAUUUGCCCCCACACACAUAUAUAUAAUCAAUUCACCAUCUUUUACACUGAUCACUUUCUCUUAAUUAACUUUUAUUCACUUUUCACAUUACCUUUUCUAGACUUUCCAAUUUCCACGUUUUUCAUUUUUCCUUUUCUGAUAUACAUACAUCUAUAUAACUGCACUUUAAUUUAUCACUUCCUUUUUACUUAUCAAAUUCAAUAUAUAUAAAUAUAUGGCGUACCAACGUCUCGUUUACUCCGUUGAAACUUAUAUUCAUCCUUUUCUUUCGAAAAUUUACCUCUCCUUCAAUGGUGCUUUUAUCCUCCUAGUAUGGUAGAUAGAGUCGACACUUUAAAAGAUGGAUUCUAACCACUUAACUUUGAAAUAGUUAUUCUAAUAUUAUAUCUAGUUUUAACGUUGCUAUAAUUUUUAUCUUAACUCAAAAGGGUUAGAAUGUGAUAAAUAGAAAAUUAAAAAUUGAUACUAAUAAAAUCUAAAAUUUUUAUAGAUGGUAAACAUUUUAAUUUAUUUUGCUAUUUUUAAAAUUGUCUCUUCUAAAAAUUUACACAUUAAACAUGUAUCAAUCAAUUAAUCUAAUAAGAAAGUUGUUAUAGGUUUUUUUUAAGAACAAUUUUAAAGUUAAAAUUAACCUUUUGAAAAGGGCUAUCUUUAGAGUUCUAAUAAAAGUAAUUAAUCAUGUGAAUGUGAUCAUGAUUGUUCUUAUUCCCACUUUAAUUUUACUUUUUCUUUAAAUGGUGAACAAAUACCACGUACAAUUUAAAGAUAAAAUUCAAUUUUAUAUCUAAUUAAUUAAUUAACUUUUAAAUUUUGAAUAGGUUAAAAGUAAGUGUUAAAAAGAAUUUAUUACAUAUUCUCAUGCAAACUUAAAUUUUGUUCGAUACAAACGUUAUAGUUUUAAAGAUUAAAUUUGGUAAUUUUAUUCGGUUAUAUAUGUCAAACCGUCAAAUAUUUUAAACGUUUUUUUUAUCAAAAGAAUUUAAAUGAAAAACAAGUUUUUUUUUCUUAAGUCAAUUCAAAUAGCUCAAAAUUGGUUGCAAAUCAAAACUCGAAUACUAAAUUAGCAAAAACAAUAUACAUAUAGAAGUUGAAUUGAUGCUGUCUAAAAUUAGAGCUAAUCUAGAGAACUCCAAAAGAGACAUUAUUGUCCAAAGAAAAAGGAACCCUAUGACUAUAUAAUAUUAUUUAUACAUUGAAGAAAAAAGAGUACAAAAUGAGUAUACGGAAUAUUUUUGAAUAAGUGUGAGAGGAAAGCAAUAAUAGUAAUAAUAUGAGUUAAUAUAGAGUUAUUGAAUGGGACACAAUUUGUACAAACAUCAUCAUCUCUUUGCUACCUCCUUUUCUAUACUUUACCUGCCAUUUCCAUUCUCUCUUUUUCUUCUAUUAUUAUCCAUUCUUCUUUUACUCUUUCUUUUUCCCCAGGAAAUAAUCCCAUGAAGUUACUCGAAAACGAUUUUAACGUGAAACAUUGUUUUCAACAUGUUAAAUACAUAUUCACAUACUUUAAUUUUACUCGAGGCAUAUAAUAUUUACUAUCUAGCUAGUAUGACUCGAGAAUUAAUACCUAGUGAAAUCAAGGUGUCGGGUGGAGAGGAAAAAGUAUGAUAUAGUAAUUGAAAUUAUCGUAGGAGUUAAAUUUAUAAUGAUACAAUAAAAUAAAAUUUAGGAAUAUUUUAUAGUUUCCUUUUAUGGCCAAUAAUUGCAUAAAUUCAAAGAAAAAAAAAUUAGUUUGAGAAUAUAAAUUAAAUUAUAUUUAUUGUAAAACCAAUAAUUAAUUUACACAUUUCAAAUUAAAGUGAUGGUAGAAAAGUAAAUAUUGAAAUUUAUAGUAAUUUGUGAUCUAAUUUGAUUCGGUGAAAAAUUAUGUAUCUAAUUUUUCUUAUUUUACAAUGACAUUGACUUUAUGAGUGGUAGCUCCUAAGCAUUAUUAACAUUAAGAAGACCACUAACCAUGGGAUUAAAUGCACAUUAAAGCAACGAUUGAUAUGAUAUAAACUUAUUAUAUGUAAGUUGAAUUAUACUUAUUUGUUUUAAUUUAGUAAUACUUUUUUUGGUUUAGCUAUUUUUAUAAAUAAAAAGUAGAUUUAAGUAGUUGGGCUAGUUUGUUGAACAUGGGCUAUUGAAGUAUUUUGGGCCACCAUGGGCUUUUGCAUAAUAAUUAGUCUUUUAAGUUCCUGAGCAAUUUGUUAUUUUUCUUAUAAAAUAUUCAACUUUACUAAAUUAAUUUUUGUUUCAUUUUAAGUAUCAAUUGUUCGUAUUCUAUAAUCUAUUUUCGUAUCUUAUCAUGAUUUAAUUACAGCUCUCUAAAAUUAAUUAUAUGAACAGUGUCUUCUGUAGAAUCACGUAGGAAUGAUGAACGAUAACGUAAAUAUACUUCAAACGGUAAUUGUGAGAUCAUAAGUAUAUUUUAUAUCAACAAAGAAUGGUAAAAAAAGUAGAUAAGUUAUUAAACAAAGUAUAAGAUCAUAAAGUACCAUCAACUAUAGUCAUGUGAAUUAAAAACUGAACCAAAGUUUAGAGGAAAAAAAAAAAAGAACUAGAGCACACACUAAUGAAAGCAUAGGAAGAAAAUGGAAGCAUAUCUGCAAAAGAUUAUUAAAGUAAUUAUCACAUGAUAUGGUGAGAAGAAUCAACCUAAAUAUGAUUCUCUCUUAGAAUUAGAAGUAGGUGUGAUAUUCAUUCAUUAAGAACAUAUAAAAUCAAAUAUCAAAUGAGUAGGGGCAGAGAAGAAGUUUAGUAGCCCUUUUUAGCUUGGAAAUUAAAACAUAUAUUAAAAUUAAAGCCACCAUUUUUAUAUUAAAAUAAAGAGCUUCUUUAAUAUAAACUAUAAUUAUUUCACAUCCCUAACUUAUAAUUCAAACCAUUCAUCUUCUUCCAUGAAUCAACCCUAAAAUCAGACUUUUCCUUUCACUUUUAGCCUCUCUUUUCUCCAUAUAAUUAAUACACACUUAAUUCCAUUCUUGACUGCAUCAUUACAACUUUGAACUAGGUUUCAAAAUUUGUGUCUACAUUUGUUAAAAGUUUUAUUCUCUUCAAGGGUUCCUUCUAUUAAUAUAUUAAUAUAAGAUGAAGAUUGAUGGGAUAUAUGGUGUUAAAUCAUACGAGACAUAAUUCACAAUAUUACUAUUUAAAAUAACUCAACAAGUAAUGAACGUACAAACUUCGAGUAAAAACGUAAUGCAACUUACAUUGUAAAUGAACUCAUCUAUUAUUGUCUAGUGUCUAUGUUGUACAAAUAAAAAUUUUGUCCUUUGGUUGUUUGUUUUCCCAUCAUGUAAAAGGUGUAGGCUUAACCUAAUCGUCGCUCGAUCUUUUGGUUAUAUACAUAAUUUUUAUUAGUAGUAUUUUUUUAGAUUAAAAAAAUAAUAAUGAUGGUAACAACGUUCAAGUAAGUUUAACUUGAGAAUAAUUUGACGCAACUUAAUCAAUAUUUUUGAAAAAAACACAAAAAUAAAAAAACAAACUAAAUUAGUGAAAAAGCUUUUCAAUAAACAAAUUAAAAUGUAUAUCAAUUAUCAUUAUAUUUUGUUGCUUAUAUAAUGGGAAAAUGUCAAAUAUAGAUAUCAAAUUCAUGUUUUCAUAGAAAUAUGAAGAGAAAUUCAAUACUAAUAUUAUGUUUACAUUGAAAAGAUGAGAUGAGAUUUUGUUAUAAAAUUAGGGAAUGAGUGUGUGUGUGUAUGUCUUGUUGAGUACUAAACCAAAGUGACCCUUUUGGCAUUAUUUUAGGGUAUUUGUUUAUGGUCCCUUUUUGGGUUAGGCCAUUAAAGGGUUUUGAGCUGUAUGGCAUGACUCAUGAGCAUUAGGUUCUCUCAUUAUCAUCUCCUUCUUACCAUUAUAUAUAUAUAAUCCAUAACAUCAAUAUAUUUUCUGCUUUUUAUUCUUUCUACAUUCUCCUACCGAGUUCAAAAUUUCAUUAGAAAUAUGCAUUUCUCGACACUAAUAUCUUUUAAACGCAUACUAAUGAAUGUGCGGUGAAAAAUAACUUGAUACAACUUAAGUUUGUAUGUUUAAUUAAUACAUGAGAUUUCCUAAACUUUAAUCCAAAUUUAACUUUGAAUAAUUUAGAAUUGAAAUUUAACGUGUUAAAAAAAGAAAACUUUCCAUUAAAUAAAAAAGUAGAUGAGAUUUCUCUUUUCUUUUCUAUAGGGCCUAAUGCAACUCAUAUUCAUUAACUCAUAGAUCACCGAGUUUGAGAAUUUUGUACUUUCAAUUUGUACCAUAUUAUUACUUUUUUUUUUCCUUUCUUGAUUUGAAGUACAUCAACUAACAACAUACACCACACACACAUAUAUAUUUUAAAAGUAAAUAGAUAAAUAAUCUAGAAAGAUCGUUAGGUGUAAUGCAUUGUUAUGUAUCAUAUCUAUCAGCACGUUGUCUAAGACAACUUUUUAGUUCUUUAUCUCACAGUCACACACGAUUUGACAUAUUGUACUACUAGAUGACACUAACAUGUAUGUAAACACCUUCAAUGUAUAACAUAUCACUAUAUCGAAAAGGGUUUUAGUUUACAAAUCUUGUGAUAUGUCGAUGGAAUAAUCAAAAUAAUAUAUUAUGGUAUCACUUUUCAUUUAUUUAAUUAAGCAAUCACUUCUAAGUUUGUAUGCCAUCUAUGUAUGAUGUAGAUUAGGGUAGAUGUCCUUUGGGAGAAGGAAGAAGCACUAGAAACCCUUUUUAUACCUAUAAUUUUCUCUUUUCAUUUAUUUUUACAUACUUAUUAUUCAACAAAUUAAUUAAGAAUUCAAUAAUUACGACCUAUUUAAUCAUUUGUAUUAAACACAAACAUAAAAAUUCAAAGACAAAUAUAAAAGAAUUUAUCUAAAUCUAUCAUAACUAAGAGUACCAUUGAUAAAUUAUAUACUUUGAAUCCUAUAUUUCUAAAAAAAAUUACUAUCCAUUAUAAUUAACCAUAUAGUUAAGAACAUCAAUAUCUUCUUCCAAUAGAAAGCGUAUCAAAACCACUUUAUUUUUCACCUUUUCCAAACCCCUAUAUGAUGCCCAAACUAUAUAUUAAUAUAUAUACUUUGCCCAACAAAAGGAAUCACAAGAAAAUGGAUUUAAGUACGGACUAUUGUACUAUAUAUAUAUAUAUGCAAUAAUUUGAUUCAAUAUUAACCAAUAAUAUAAAGUGAAAUUACAUCACUUACAUUACACACACACAUAUAGUUCCUUUUACAGAUUUUGUUAACUUGUUCCAUUCAACCAUUUUGGUACUUGACAUCAUGAAACAGAAUAUUAUCAGACUAUGUGAAUUCAGUGAUUGAUGUUGGUUGAUAUUCCAAUUCAUUGUUCUUUCUCGUUUAAAUGAAAAUGUAUAUGAUAAACAAGCAUAUAUAUAUAUGUAUAUAUAUUUCUCAUAUACUGACAAUUUGGUCUUGUUCCUUUGUACGAUAGAAACUCCAAAAGGACUUGGAAUUUGUACUAAUAAUUAGUUAUAUUAGGGAAAAUGCAUACAUAUUUUCGAAUAGAUAUCUUUUAACGGUGAUUAUUAAAAAGUAGUCAUAUUUUGAUAGACUUGCUUGCUUGACUCAAUGUUUUUUGUUUCUUUCGUUUAAAGGGUUUAUAUUCGAAAAUAUUCUAAUGGUUUUUUUGUAUAGGAAGUAUAUAUUGAUGACAUCAAACCAAUGAAUUUCACUUUAGGACAAAAUCGUUAGAAAUAUAUGCUUUGUGAACUAGAAAAGAAAUUGUGCUUUUAUCCAAAGCAAUUUUCUUACAUUAAAAAAAUCCCUAAUUUGAAAUUCUACCAAAAAUUUUAUAACACUUACAAUAACCUUUGUUAUUAUUUAUUUUUUAACCAACUACUCGUCAUUGGUUGAAUAGUUCAAAAUAUAUUGUUUGAAAUAUUUUGUUAAACUAUGAACUUUUGUUUUUGUUUAUAUCUUUUAUCUUUAAAAUUUUAAAAGUUGAUACAAAUAGUUGAAAAUGAGCAUAAUUCUGUUGAUAUAGUCGUAUAUUAUUCAACCUUGGUAUUAGGGUAGGGUGACAAUAAUAAUUAUAAUAUCAACGUGUUUAUGAAAUUCAAGAAUUAAAAUGGAAGACUCGUUGGUAGAAUUUGUUAGCAAAAGAUUAAAAAAAACACCUAAAUUGAAGAGCCAAAAUGGCAUUAUGAAAUUAUUAAAGCAUAUACCAUAAUAAUACCAUGAGCUACUUUUUUCAUUCUUCAUCGUUGUUUUUAGCAAUUCAAACGACCAUUAUUUAAUAACUUUCACCAAAUUUUAUUGAUCAUAAAAAUAAAAGAUUACAAGAAGAAAGAAAAGAAAAAAAGAUUCGUCAAAAUCCAACUCAAUCCAACUCCAACCGAGACAAAUACAAAAGAUGAUCGUGAUAUCAGAAGGGGAGGAGUAAUAAGGGAAAGAAACGAGGAUUUAUAUAUGAUCAACGAAGAAGAAGAAGAAUUAAAGAGAAAGAGUUUGGCGUUCGGGAUCGGAAACACGAGCUUCGUAGAAUCUAGCAAUAAAAGCAGAAGCUUUACGAUCAAUUCCAGGCUCAGCAACCCAUCUACUUCCUCUAUCUUCAUCACUUGGCCACAUCCUUCUUCUAAUUUCACCACUUUGAUCUUCAAAAUAAUGACCUUCAUAGUCAUUCCCAUAAUCUCUUCCUCCCAUGAAACAACAGCUUUUCAAUAUGCUACAAAAUGAAAAGCACUUCAAUGACUUUGAUCUUCCCCCCAUAUAACAGUAAUAACAAUAUAUAUAUAUAUAUAAAUAUAUAUAUUUUCUUUGAGAAGAAAGCACUUUUAAUAAAUUUCCCUCCCUUCUUCAAAUAAUAAUAAUGGUGCCUUUUCUUUUCCUUUCUAGUUCUCUUCCCUAAGCCUUUUUUUCUCUCAAGAGAAAAAGAUGAAGGAAUGAAAGGUAACUUGGAGGGGGUGUUUGUAGUGAUAAUAUAUAUGUGGGAGAGAAUAUGAUGGUUGCUGAGUUUAUAUAGUGGAAAACAACAGCUAUAUUGGCUUUUUGCUUUUUGUGAGACAGCUUGUUGAAGGGUCUUCUUUUCUCAUAAAAAUAAUAAUUAAUUUAUAUGAAAUGACCUUUUCAAGUUUAGGUUGGUUUCAAUUAUAUAUCUCAUGUUUUUUAAGAAAACAAAAUUAUGCUUAAGUUUACUUUAGGGUUUGUUUCAACUAUGUGUUCAUAAAAAAAAAAAAAAUCUUUUUGAAAUUUAAAUUUUCACCUUUUUGACUUUCUCAAAUUUGUUCAAAUUAAUAUAUAUACACCCUUGAAGAAUUUCCUUUGGAUAAAAAUAAGAUGGGAAUUUAGUGACCAUUAAUGCAGGUAAAAAUUGAAAAGCACAUGUCACAAUAAUGGUAAAAAUUGAUUGCAUAAAGGAUUCUUUUUUGUUAAUGAUAUCAGUUGAGGGGAAAAAUUGGUAACGAUGGUCUUAAUCAAUCUUCUAUAUAGAUAAUAAUAUAAUGCUUAUCUUCUAAUAUCAUGUUAUACGUUACACCAUAUUUUGGACAAACUAGA
rnacentral:lncRNA from 1 species